rnacentral:lncRNA from 1 species
CCCUCGCCUCCUCCUCCUUCCAUCCAGACCCACCUUAAAACCCCUCCUGUGCCCCUCUCGAAUCCCACCCUGCCGCCCCUUCUUGCCCCGCUCCGCUGCGCUCUCUCAGCUUGCGGUCCCCCAAACGUUAGACCGCUCCGAUGCCGAGGACCCCCGAACGGUAGACCACUCCGAUGCCGAGGGCUCCCGAACGGUAGACCACUCCGACAUCGAGGAGCCACUGGGGGAGGUGCAGGUACAGCUUCCGCUCGACCGGCUCUUCCUGCCACCGGGGGCGAACGUGACCCCCGGGGACGAGGAGGCCGUCACCGGGCGGGUCCUCAAGGGCUCCAACAUCGUGUUGGGCACGUACGCGCGCGGCGAUGCCCAGGUUGUUGCCGCGGAUUUUGUGAAGAGCAGCGUGCGACCCGAUGACUGUCCCAGGGAUGGGCUGCCUGAGUUCGCUCUCGUCGGCCGCUCCAACGUCGGCAAGUCGUCCCUGCUCAACUCGAUCGUCCGCCGCAAGCGUCUCGCGCUCACCUCCAAGAAGCCUGGUAGGUUGCGCUCACAUUAUUUUUGUUGUACUUAUUUAUGUGCUUGCAUUGCAAUUGGGGUUUAGGGUUUAAUGUCCAAGAUUGGACCUCGUUCCUAGUUGCGAGGAGGCACUUCCCUAGUUAAUAUGCUGGCUUUCUGGAGCUGGUAGAAGUGACUAUGCUGCGAUUUGAGUGCCCAAUUGUGUUCAUAGGAGGCACCUUUUACGGACAUGAUUGACUUCGUUUUGGGUUUUGGUGCUUAUCUCUAAAGCUUCACCUUAUGUGUUUCCGUCCUAAAUUAGUUUGUUCAACAGCAUUUAUACAUGUGAAUGCUGAUGGUCCUUUCCCCUAGGUGGUUCGUUUUUACUUAUAUUGGUCAUGCGCACUAUAAUGUGGUCAUCGGCUAUACUUCUUGCUGUAAUGUUGGGCUUCCAGAAGAUAUGGUACUAUGGUCUUUGUGGUGCUUUUUGGUGGCCACAAGUUUACGUUCUAUAAGAGCCUGUCUGCCCGUGCAAAUGGAAUCUGAGAAUGCCUGGCUAGAAAGUAUCCUAAUAGGCUAGGGGAAAUUCCAUGAAACUGAGGCUGUCUAGUUCUGCGUCCUUUUUUUUGCCCAACUGUUCAGAUCAAUCACCCCAUGUCAGAAACUACAAUUUUCUGUUUUUUUAUCACAAGAACUUACUGAAAUCACAUGGAUCUAUGGUGUCUAGCAUCAAUACUUCUCUGGAAAUAUGUUCCGAUUUCCGAGACUCGUAACAAUAGAACAAAACAUUUUCAUGGCUGCACAUUCUUGUCAUCUUGUGUCUUUCAUUUUUAUAAUUUACAUAUAUACUGCAGCAAAGCUUAAAUAGGAUGAAUCAAAUUCUCAUAUCUAGAUAUCAUUAAUCUCAGUGAUUGUUUUGUUACUGCAGGCAAGACCCAAUGUAUCAAUCAUUUCAAAAUAAAUGACAGCUGGUACCUUGUUGACUUGCCUGGUUAUGGGUACCCUACUAUUCUUGCCCACUUUCUAUUUCCUUAAUUUCCGUUUUCUUCUUAAGCAUGUAGAUGGGCAUAUUUAAAAUGUGCGAUUGAUGAACUUCACUCCUGUUUGGUUGCGAUGAAACUUAACCAUAUUUCUUCCUAAUUUCCUAUGCCUUCGUAUUUUCAUGUUACAAAUAUACAGAAAUGAAACUGGUGGCAUUACAUGUUUAUUUCCCGUUACUUGCGAAUAUACAUGUUCUUGAAAUGAAUGCUAGCUUAACUGGGCUCUCUAAUGAUGAAGCUACUUCUCUUUUUCGAAGUAUUAGACUCCUUUUAUUUAUGCCCUACUGGAUAACUAUUUUUCUUCUGGACAAAGGCCAAGGCCCAGUUUAUUUGGAGCCUUGCAAGGAAAAUUUCCUUAAUGUGUAAGUUUAAUAAAACACAGUUUAAUAAAUUGUUUGAUUAAAUCAAGGUUAUUAUUUCUUUAGGAAUUUGCUAGUGACUUAAAGCAAGGUUAUUUCUGUAGGAAUUCAUCGGUGUUAAAUCAAGUUUAAUUGCCCUGAUACUAUCUGCAGGAAGAAGAAAUUAUUUGAUUAAGCCAAGGUUAUUUCUUUAGUGGAAAGCAGGGCUAUCGAUUUGGAUUUUGAGCAGCUGUGGUUAACAUGAUUAUAGUUGCCAAAUGUUGCUAACUGAUUCGGAAUAUAGUUGAUAUUUUGAAAUUUAGAAGAAUGUUCACACCAUUUAGUAUUGACUAUGACAUAUUCAGCCACAUCUCAUUAAUUUGAUUUACAUAGUGAUAUAUGUCAAAAUUACUACUCCCUCCGACCCAUAUUACUUGUCGAAAUAUUACAUGCAUCUAGACUCUUUUUAAACAUAGAGACAUCCAUAUUUGGGCAAAUUUGAGGCAAGUAAUAUGGGUCGGAGGUAGUAUGUGAUAUUGAGUUUUCAUUGGGCAUGCUUUAUGCAAGCUAGUCAAAAUCCAAAAUAUUUUGUUCUUAAUAAGAUAUACGACAAACAGGGAAUAUACACACUACUGAAUUAGUUGGAUGGUAUUUUUUUUCUGAGAAAUUCUCCAUCUUCUGGUUUUAACUAGAGCCUGUAUGAAACAGAUAUGCCUCUGCGCCACAGGAAGCUCGUAAAGAUUGGGAUGCAUUUACUAGAAAUUACUUCCUCAGCCGAGAUAAUUUGGUGUCGGUUUUUCUCCUUAUAGAUGCGAGUAUUCCUGCUAAGAAGAUUGAUCUUGACUAUGCUAGUUGGCUUGGUCAAAACAAGGUAAGCCAUCCUUCUCAAACAACUAAACCUUCAUAUAUCAUCAUAUCAAGUACCUCUGUGCUUUUCGAUGGAGCACGUUGUUUGGGCCUUUUUUGUUUUCCCUUCAGCGGCACUCUGUUCAAGCCAGGGAAAUUUUUGUUCUUGCGCUAAUUUCUUUUCAGCAAAUACAUCAAUGUUCUUAAAUUUGGGCUAAACUACUGCAACUUCACACGAUGUAUUGCUUUGCCCUCAACAUGUCGCUGUGCUUUUCCUGGGCAAUCUGUCUGAGCAUUUGAGUGUAUUGCUUUGCCCUCAACAUGUAAUUUCAGUAACACCAUAGCAUCAUAGGACCCUCCUCAGUUUACUUUCCUGAUCCUUGCUUUGUCCUUCACACGAUGCAAUAUCUGAGAACACAUUAUAAAAUCAGGUAUGCCUUAGUUUGUGCUGCCAUCUGAAAACACCAAGAAUGAUAAAAGAGCACAUGCCAUCAAGCCUGCUAAGAAGGCCACAUAUAAACUAGCACUCAUCGAUGGAUAUAAUAAAUAGACUACACACAAAAACCUGAUCGAGAUGAGGCAGUUCAAAUGAGCAGCCCAAACCUUGAGGUAAUGAUAUGACGAAAUGUGUCAUUGUAGCACACUUGAUGAAACAUGUAGCACAGGUUAGGAGAGUUCCAUGUUGUGUAGGAUGUUUCUGAAAAAUACACGUAGGGAGUGAAGGAAUAGAACAAAUUUCUCAGAUGAAGUGUAGAACAAAAUUCUCAGACAAAAUGAAUAUACUUCAAGUUGCAGAAGUGUAACCCAGAGUUAAACUGUUGAAAUUUUUUUCUGAAAUUGGUGACAAAUGAAAAUUUCAAAUGGCUCCAUAAAGUAUGAUGAAAAAACAGAGUGCAAUACUGCAGUUGAAAAGGAAUAUAUCAAAUUAAGUUCCCCAACAAAAGGAGCAUCAAGGGUUAAAGGCAAUGUCCCUACAUUUACCUAGAAUGAACUUAUUCGUCGAAUCUGCAAGUCCAAUCUUCUACAUCAAUUUUUUUAUAGGAUAUUCAUGACAAAUGUUCUCACAAUGACCUUUAAAACUGUGUUCUAUCUUUCAAGAACUGGUUUCCGCCGAGUAGGUCUGCUUUAGUUAAUUUAAACGCAAAACAGAAGUGCCACAUAUGACCUCUGACUGAUGAUAGUGAAGACAAAUAUCUGUAAGCCCUAACAAGUUUAUAAUUGUAAUAUGUAUCUGCGAAAUGUUUUAGUAGGGAAGUGCCAUGUAAAUAUGUAAUGGGCUUUCUUUGUUGCUCAAUGCUGCCAGACAUGGCCUGCUAUUUUUAUUUUUGGGUAGUGUCCAUAUAUCUGUAUUUGUCGCAAAACCCAACAAAGCCUACAGAGUCCAGCUUGACUGCGGACUCCCUAUUUCUUAUUUGGAGUUCAAACCCUGCAAUACAAAGUAAAUUUUAUGGCAAACUCAAGUCCGACAACUUGGUAGUACCUUACCAAGUAGUACUCUGUAACAAUAUUCACGCUUUCUUUCCUGUCCUGAAGCUAGUUCUCGUUCCAUUCGUUGUGUUAAUGCUGCAGUGUACGCAUUCACCCACCACCUUUUGCAACAAGACCUGAACUCUCAGCUCUGCACUUUGGACCCCUUCCCCUUGUCUCAUCCAGUCAAUAUCCAUCAGCAGUGUUCCUUUAAACUCUUCUGUCCUUUUAUUGCUGCCUUUUCCCCCACGACCAUUAUUUUCCCUUUUCGAGUUGCAACCACCCUCCUCCCUGUUUUGCUGCAAUUCAGUGCAGAACACCUCUUUGGACAAAGACCUAUGUUUGCAUGGACCUGGUGCCCUGGUCCCGAUAACACCAAUUAACCCAUUCCCUUUAUGGACAUGGAGUAAUGGAGUUGCCUUCUGUACAGGUAAUAACAAGCAAGAUCCAAAGAAUGCAUUAUUGUCUUGCGUGUUUAUUUCUUCUCUUGAUGCAUUGAUUUAUAAAUUUGUUAAAUGACCCGACAUUGAUGUAGAUGUGUUAUGUAUCUUGCAACAUGUAUACCAUUACUACUGCAUCAGAUAUGCAUUAUUGUUACUUCAAACAUGAGAGGGAAUUGAUAGCUAGUUGAACAGCAAGUAUUUCUAUUGUUUAAGAAAAGGAGAUGGGGCUUCCCAGCUUUAUAGAUAGCUCCAUUUCAAUGUUUCAUUUAUGCAGGUUCCCAUGACACUUGUGUUCACAAAAUGCGACAAACGCAAGAAGAAGAAAAAUGGUGGCAGGAGACCAGAAGAAAACGUAGAAUACUUCCAGAAUUUGAUCCGUGAAUAUUUUGAGGCAGCGCCUCCUUGGAUAAUGACGAGCAGCGUGACCAACCAAGGCAGAGAUGAAAUACUUCUGCACAUGUCUCAGCUCAGAAACUAUUGGCGCAAGCAUUAAGAUGGGAUAAUAGCAAUAGGACUGAAGCAACAGGAACUGCAAGCAAGCUGCUUUGAUGCAUUGGCACCUUUGCAAUCAGGCUUUCACCAACUAAUUUGCCUUUUGAGCUGUUGAUUGUCCACAAUUGCCCUAGUACAUGAUUACUCAAUCAACAGACUGGGUAUGCAGACAAGCCACUGAAAUCAACAACCCUGUUUUUUAUAUAUUUGUAUAACAGUACAAUCUCAACGUUUUCUCUUUGUUAUUUUCUGAUUAUAAGAUUGUGCAUUCUGUAUAUUAAAGUACUCCCGUGUCAACUAAUCAUCAUUGGGAAUCUCACAUUUUUGUUUGUUAUUUGCUCCCUUGGACCCUGCAUCAUACAAAUGGCAGGAGAUGCAGGCACUUCUUGACUAGUCAGUUUUUCUGUAGUCUACAGAACGCAGUGAAAGUGCCACAUUAUUGGGAUCUAUUCGACAGUUGUUUCUUUUUAUCCCGACUAAAGAAAAGAUCUAGGUGGUACAAAGUCUGCCUGGAGACAGAACGCUGGUCAGAUGAUUGCAGGAUAGCUGCACUGUAACUUGCGCUUAUCCUGAUGUUCUCACGCUCAUGCACGCUUAGUUUGUUAGGAUAAACUAACCUGGCCAUCUGUCAUCAGUUUUGUAUUGCUAACACCUGUUUGUUUGUCCUUAUAAGGUCAAAUCUUUAAAAGCUGUGCGCCGUCUACGCGAUAGGUAGACAUACUUGUAUCCAAAAGAACAGCUCAGCUGGGCUCACACAGCUGGAGGACGCAUUCGCUGCUAAACAACUCACCAAGGAACAUCAUUUGAGAAUUAACAGCGUGUACAGCCUAUACGCGGUUGUUUGCGUAAUGCUACUCUGUGUUGAUUGCAACGGUACAAAAAAAUACUGCACUAGUCUUUCUUUCAGCAUGUACUGAGUGUACUGUAGCAGUGGUUUACAGACUGCGGAGUUGCCGUAGUCAACACUGGCGCAUAGCCGGCCGAUUGUGCAGUAAAACUGGGCGCAGUUGCAGCCUUGCAGAGAGCGGCUGCGUGCAGGGAAUGUAGGCCAAAUCGCCAACCAAUCUACACUUCCUUUAUUGUCUAAAAAAAAUCAAUUAUAUACUUCUUCCUUCUAUCUUCUCCCAAAAUUCCAUCCAAAAACUGCACUGCAGCUCAAAAGCCCCGUGCGCUUGCACCGUGUUCAGCUCGAGUCUUUUGCCAUCUAGUCGGUCACCUUGGCAUUCCAUACCGUGCGCGGCUCACGAGCCAACCCCGCCAUUUCUCCAUGCGCCACACGGGCAACGCAAAAACGACACUUACAUACGGCCAUUAGGCCAAUCUUGUCAGUAAGCUAAAUCCAGGAGGAGGCCGAGUAAAAACAAAGCAUCCAAGCAAGAUGCAGCGAUAAUGCAGCUUCGCGCGUAACCGCCUCGGGCCAUCUCCCAUUCUCCCCACUACGUUACGUGGCGCCUGUCCCCAUCGUCGCGGCGAGACGGGGACCCGGCCACGACCGUGUCCCCGGGCGGUUUUGUUCCGGGCUCGCGGCACGGGGCGGUUAAAAGCCCCCCACCGCGCAGAGGCCGCAUUAGCCCGGCACGAAUGCGAUAGUAGACCCAACUCGAUCCUCAUUCCCUCCCGCCCCCGCGCGCGCUCCCAUCCACGCACGCACGCACGGACUGGAGGCGCGCCAACAAGCCGUGAGCACGACGAACACAAGCCUCUCUCCCCAACACCACGCGGCCAUGGAAGGCUCCGGCUCCGGCACCGGGCGCAAGAAGCUGAAGCACCGUCUCGCGGCCAUCCUGUCGGUCUUCUCCAGGCGUUCGGGGAGCUCCAGGAAGCGUCGCGACGAGGAGGCGCCGCCGCCACCCCUGGCAUUGCCCUCCUACGCCCGCCUCGCGGGAGGCGGCAAGAAGGCUGCUGGCUGGGGUGGAGCGCAGCACGACCGCCGUCUCUCCGUGUCAGAGCGGCGCACCGUGCCGCUGAUCCGCAUCACCAUCGACUGCGCCGGCCGCCGCUCCGUCGACGCGGCGGACCCGACCCUCCUCGCGCCGCUCGACGCGGACAACUACGCCAGGAAGAAGCUCGGGCUGCCGUACGAGACCAGCGACUGGGACGGCCGCAAGUGCCCGCCGUCCUCGCCCUUCCCCGUGGCUCCUCAUCUGCCGCCCAUGCCGCCCAGGUGGAAGGAGCGGCCCAGCAGCCGCGGCAGGCCGUCGACGCACUCGUCGCGCAGGCUCCUGAGCAGCUCGUCCUCCGACGACGAGUACGACGAGGAGUCAUCGUCGCUAAGGAACAUCUUCUCCUCUAGAAGCUUCUCCUCCGACUCCUCCGACUUCUACAACUGCCCGCGCAAUUCCAAGAACACCAGUACCACCAAGCCGCGAGCCUCCGUGUCCGGGCCGUGCCGCGCGCCUCCUGCCGCUGGAGGCGCGCGCCGUGGCGCGUCGCAGAGCUGCCGGUACAGCUUCGAGCUACCCCGAGGUUCAACGGCGUCCGCGGCGACGGACGGCGGGUUCGCGGUGGUGAAGCGCUCGGCCGACCCCUACGAGGACUUCCGCAAGUCCAUGGAGGAGAUGAUCGCCGAGUGGCCGGCGGGCGGCCACGGACACGGCGAAGAGGACGAGCACAGCGCGGAGGGCCUGCUGGAGACGUACCUCGUGCUCAACUCGCCCCGGCAUUACCCAGCGAUCCUCGCGGCGUUCGCCGACGUGCGGGAGACGCUGUGCCCCUGAAUUCGCCAAUGCAUGCCAGAUAGACCGAUGGAUGGGCCAGGGCCGGCGCUGGAGUGAUGUUGAUAGGAUCAUUAACCUUUUCGAGCGAGAUUAAUGGCAUGAGAGUUGGACAUGUGCCAUGUUGCGCUUGCGCCGUUGCGCGCGUACGUGCAUUGUCUCUGCCCUUCAUUCAUUGCUGAAUCUUGACCUGCUAACUUCUGCUUAAUUCGGACUCUGUAGUUCUGUCAGUGAUGGUACUGCACCUUAGUAAUAGUUCUUGAUGUUUGUGAGCUUCGACCGUUCUACGAAUGUUCUUCGCAGUUUGAGGAGCACGCUCGUGCUUCGUGUGAAUAUAUGUUCGUAGUAUAUUUUUGAAUUAGCAAUGUCGAACACUUGCAUUUCAUCUCUGCUUGGUUCAGCUCAAAUAGAUACAGAAGAAAAAAAAACUAAUUUCCUGCCGAAAUGAUUGACGCUGCAGGCCCGCGCAUUUGACUCGGAAAAUGGCUUCAUACCGUAUCUCCUUCGUUGGUUGAACUACUACUCCAGUUCACAAACAAAACUCCUUCCCCACGAAACGACACACAAUCUUAGGUGCAUGUGGGUUCGUUUUGAACUGAAUACUCUUAUACAGCCGAGGGCCUGAGGAUAUUCUUUGUGCUUCAUUUUGACUCUGCUCCAAUACAAUAACAAACAAUAUCGGGAAGGAGUAGCCGGCAAACAAAGAAGAAGAAGUGAAAAUCCGGCAACGCCCUCUGCUUUCCAAGUAAACGCAAAGCGUAUGUCGCAGGCAUUACCGGAUUUAUAAUAUAUGCAAACGGAAAGUCUUUCCCGAAUGCGUGACGAGUCCUCCCUAUGGUCCUCUCAAACAAAUUGUCCCUAGUUUGUGCCCUCCCUUUCUUGGGUAGCAGCAGCCAGCAGCCAGCAGCCAGCAGCAGCGCUCGCGAGCUAGGAGCAGGCAUGUGCCGCGGGUUGGCGCGGUUGGUGACCACAUCUGAUUGAUAGGAACGGUUGGGUUUAGGGGUCGGCGCGCCGAGCCGCACCAACCAGGCAACCACGUAUCCAGAUACCUUAGCCGCCGGCCGGCCUAGGGGCCUCCUCCCUCCCUCACCCGCGCCGCCGCCGCCACCGGAGAGGGUGCCGGCGAAGCCGCGCACGCCCAGGAAAGACGGCGGCGGGGCGUUUUCCUCUCUCGUGCGGGGCUGCUGCAAGUGGCGCGGCACGCGGCGGCGAGCUGCGGCGAGGCACGGCGCGCGGCGACGCGCUGAUGGCGGCGAGGCGGCGCGUGUUGCAGCGAGGCGCGUGGCCGCGGGCGUGACGGUCAGUGGCUGCGGCGCUCUGGCGGCACGUGUCUUGGUGGCCUGCCGGGCCAGCUCCAGCGGCGGAGCGCCUGAUCCGGGGAGGGCGGCACCGGAACCGGUGCUGGGCUGGGCCCCGGCGACGUCAUGCGUGGUGGGGGUCGUGCCUUUCGGCGGGGGCGCCGCUGAUUUGGGGCUCGGCGGGGCUGCGGCCCUUCGGGCGUGUCCCCCGAUCUGGCGACGGUGGCGCGUGCUCCGGCGAGUUGGGCGGCGUGGUGCGGCGGUCGGCAGGAGCGGCGGCAGCCUCCUCGCGGCAGAGGCGCCCCUGUGGUGGCGGCCGGGAACUUUGAGCCCGCUCGGGGCCCAUCUGGUUCUUGGGUGGGCCUACUGUUCUUGACGCUGCUCCAGGUGCGAGUGGAGCCUGAUGUGCUGGAGCCUGCACCGUGGUGGUGCUGGAGGCCGGCCAGGCAGCGGUGGGCUGGGUCCUCACCGUCCAGUCCCCGUCCCGGUGGUGGUGAGAUGGUGCGCAGCCUCCUACUCCUCAAACGACGUGGAUCUCGUUUCUCCACGGAGAUGAGGCCAAAAGGCGGCUCCUUGUUGCGUGAUGGGCGUCGGGGCUGACGGCAAGGACGGCGACGCCCGCAGGCGCCGUCCCCUCCUUGGAGGCGUCGCCAUGGCGCUGCCCGUUCUUCCUUGCCUCGAGAACCAGGGGAAACCCUUUAUUCGCUCUUCGGAUUAGGCGGCGACAGCACAUCCAUGUUGUUCCCCUCUUGGGGGCGUCGUCUAGGUGGUUCGUGGAGUCCUUGGUGCGACAGUUGGAGUCGGUCGGCCACCGCUCGGAGUUUGGGCUUCCGGGGCGCUAUGUACGCCGUCGUCGAAGCUUCUUCUGGGUCGACGCCUCCUUUGGUCAGGUUCGGUCCUGCCGAUUUCUCGUUGACUCUUAGGCGUUUAUGGGGGGGCGGUGCGUUGGCUUGUGCCUUCCCGGAGUUGGAGUUGGUCUCGGGAAGUUUCCCUCUUCGGUUGUGACGCGGCUUUGAAGCUCGUUGUAUCGCUCCCUCGCCAUUCUUGUCGGGAGACGAUACAAGGCAAGUUCUUGUCGUUGUUGUUGUAUGGUGUGUUGUAAUCCGUGUGGCGUUGCGUUCGUAUCGUGUAGCCUUUUUGCGUUGUACGGCCGUCUUGGCCUCUUGGCCACUUCAUGGUGUUGUAACUGGCUUUCUGGCCACCUCCUUCUUUAAUCGAUGAUGCGUCCGCUGAGUCGCAUUGUUGAAAAAAUCCGCGACGUGAGUCAUGAACUGCAUAAACUGAUUACGCCAGCCGGGACGGCGCGGCAAUUGAUCCAUCGAUCGAAUCGAGCCGCGGGCCGCGCUCGCGCGCUGGCAGCUAGUCAGGCGAGGAAAGGGGCGAACGGCGACCUGUGCCCCUGAGCAGCAUCACCCGGAUUCCAUCCGCCUGUACGCAUCUGCUACUUGCGUGGUAUUCACUCCGUCCCAUAAUAUGAGACGCGCACGCCUCCCUAUAUCGUCAAUUUAGCUGACUAAAUAUAAAUUAAAUAAUUAAAUAAUUAUAUCAUUAGAAAGUUCCAAUCUAACGAUGUAAGUUUUGUUAGAAAACAUGCAUAUUUAAUUUUUUAAAUUGAGGUACGGAGGGAGUAGCCAGGCCCGUCCGUUCGCGCUUGGCCGCCACCCCGACGUGACCCGACGACGCCCUCGUCAGUAGUAGACAGUAGUAUAGCCCAGAAUGUUGCCAGUUCGUCGCGUCCUUUCGCCCGCGCUAGGGCUCAUCGCUCCGUUUUGUAAAUACUCCUCGUAUGUGGCUAAGAUUCCGCGGCGUCGACCGACUAAUGCAGCUACGGUGACUGAAAGAUCAGAAUCGGAUCGACCGGUGCGCUGUCUGUGGCAUGGGUUUGGCUUUGCUGUGUUGUGUUGUUCCGUUCGCGCGCAGGCGCGGCAGUGGAAAGAAAGAAGAGAAAAAAGCUGGGAGUGAAAGUACGCAUCGAAGCAUGGCAGGGCUCCAUGCAUGGCUUUUGCUCCGUGACGGACGUGAUGUUUUUGGCCCCGGCCGGGCUCCGGAUAUCGCGAAAACUCGUUACGUGGUCGCGUCUUGUCGAUAUGCUCAGGUGAACCCAGAAAAGGGCCUCCAAAAGGUGCACCACGGUCACGUGUCCGGAGAUAAAUUAACCCGUCGGCUCGUGUGUUGCUGUUGCUUGCGAUGAAACCUCUGCUGCCGAGGCUGCGCGCUCUGAAACCUGCUGUCUGAAAACACCCAUGCACAGACGCUCGUGAGUUGAGUUUCUCGAAUGUAGGGAUUCUGUGGGAGAAUUAUCUUUAUAUUUUUUUUCGAAAAGAUAACCCUAUAUAGCCAUAUAUCUGCGAAGUAAAUUUGAAAACAACUACUUUUUCGGACUUUAUAUUUUUUUUUCGAAAAGAUAACCCUAUAUAGCCAUAUAUCUGCGAAGUAAAUUUUGAAAACAACUACUUUUUCGGACUGUCACUAAUUUAUUACAACUUUAUACUAAAACCUGCGACAAGUAAUAUGGGUCGAGGGAGUACUAAAAUUUGCGGUCCCUUUUUUACCCUGCCAGUGAAGUACUCCUACAUCUAUUCGGUAUUAUUGUUGUGAAAAGGGUUUUUCUAUUCAGACCAUGGAUCCUAUUGUAUAAUCUAACGCUUAUUACAUCAAAGCCAAUCCAAGGGCCAGAAGAAGAUCCAAGCAGUCAAAAAUAGAAGCCCCAUUUUGUUGGUUUCCCUCGUGUCCCCGAUCGACCAUUUAGCAUCAGAAAACGAGGAGAAUCACAUAUCAACGUCUGGCAAAUUAGUAUAAAAAGCAAUUUUCCGUACGUUGUCAACCCCAUUACUAGGACGCCGUUGCCAUUUGUUUAUUGGCUGCUUGAUUUAUUUUUUCUUGAAUCCCACUCAUAGUUAUAAGUUUUUGUUUCAACAUUCAAUUAUCCUCAAUUCCUCAUCUCCGAGCCACUUGACGUGGUUAGUUAUGACUAACCACGUAAUCGACUCGAGUAUACCCGUUACGGCCCAACUAGGGUCUCAUAAAGAAGCCUAUUACAACUUCAGGAGUCCAUAUGCCAAAGAUUGCGAUUCAAGAUAAGAAAGUUUAAUUAGAAUAUGUUCUCUUCAUUGUAACCGACUUGGACUCAACUUGAGAUCUGAGAUCCUGCAUAUAUAAAGGACCAGGAGGGGGAGCCAAGGAGCAAAAACUUAGCUAGAAGCCGCCUAGACGCACUCGCCAGAUCGAAUCUGUGCAUCUAGCCUCCGCGGCAUCCUUUGUAAUCGACUCAUCAAUACAGAUCAGACAAUCAGAACGUAGGGGCAUUACUUUCCAAGGGCCUUGAACCUGCGUAAAUCGUGUUUCCUGUGUCCUUAUUUGCCGACGAGUUCGUCAACACAUACACUCGAAAUCUUUCCUAGAUAUAAGUCCACUAAUAUGGACAUCGUCGAAGUCCCAACUUCGUCACCACUCCUUGUAUAAUUCUAAUAUCUAUAAGUUACACUAAAAUUUGGCUUGUAAGCAUUCAAAGAGUUCAAUUUUAGGCAGUUGUGCAAUUUCUGGUGACGUGUGUGUUUCAAAAAGAAAAGAAAAAAGGGGUUUGCUAUUAAGAAGUUUCAUAUUAUUUUUAAUUAGAGAUCAGUCGUGCUUGGCCGUCGGAUUUUAAUCCAAUGAUAGCACGUGGGAGAGAAGAAAAUGGGGGACGGCUUUCAAAUCUUAAUCUAACGGAUUUGAUACGUCAACUGAGAUUUAAAACAUUUUUCUGAAAGAUCAGACGAUUGAGAAAUAUGCACACACAAAAAACAACAACUAAGAAGUAGCAAAACUUUAAAAGAAAAGUACUUUAGCACAAUAAAAUCUAGGAACUAUAAAAAUCAACAUGCUUGGGAGCCCUCCAUCUCCACCCCUACUUAUUAAAAAUGACUAGCUAAUUAAUUGGAAUUAUAAAAUGCAUCUGUACAAAACAGCAAGACACGGCCUAAGUUCUAUACUACUCUCUCCGUUCCAAGAUUGGUACGAAUUUGAAUGGAGAAUCUUUAGAACGGAGGAGGGAGCAGUGCGUACUGCGUGGUGCCUAGCUUGGGAACGGUGGGUGUGGAUGCAUGUAACGCCAGGCGCCAACCAGAACGCCCAAUUAACAAAUAUUCCGCCGUGCGUAUGAAGGCUAGCAGCUGGCCGGUUUGCCGCCGGCGGGGCGAAAUUUCUUUUCUCCCCAUGCAAUUAGGAACCGGGGACGAAGCUCACUCGGUCACUCCAAUACCCAGAGUGACAAAACGUCAGAUUCAACACAUGCAUGCACGCCGCGAUGAUGCAUGUCGUGCAUCUCGUCUCUAAUUAACCCGAUGGAGCAAGUGAUAAGCACAGUAGCUAUAGCUCUCUAAGCUAGAGAGAAUCUGGGAAUAGUUUUCCCUUAUAGUUUAAGGAGAUAAAGAAUCUAGGAGGUUAGGUAAUGCCCAAUAAACGGUUGGCGUGUAGGUCUACGGCCGCUAAUAAUCGUGGUCGGUACGUACGUGUUUUCUCCGUUUGUCUUUUCAUCUUCGUGCGCGUGUUUGUGUUCGAUCGUGAGCAUCAGUUGUACGCACGUACGUAGUUAGGGACCGGACAAACAUACGAACCACCGAUCGAUCUUAUCCUUCUCCCGGCCGGCCCGUUCGUACGUACGUAUAGCGCAUCCUUUAGAGAUCCGUAGUUAAGCAGUAGUACAUGUACUCUCAGCUAGCUCACGAUCGAUCGACGUACGUACCAUUCGUGAUUUAAUAAUGUGUUUAAUUUGCAGUACACUUACACUCGACGAGGUAAACUUAUGUGUAAACAUUGGACUUGUUUGGGUGAUGGUUGGAUCUUGGAUGCCCAAUUAUUGCCCACCAAUUCCGGACUGUCAGACAUGCUUGGUUAAUUACCCUUCGUUCGCGCUGGGAGUUAGACCUAAGUACUUUUGUAUUUUUUUGAGAAUUACACGUAACUUUUCAAAUUCGAGAACCAUUACAGGUACAUCUAUUGGAUCAUAUAUCCUAAAGAUUACAUGAUAGUUUCUAUAAACUUAGAAUUACAAUGAAAUCUCUUGAAAACAUUUUCUCUCCGUAGUAUCAUUCUUUGCAAGAUGAAAUACUACCAAGGCUUCAACAUGGAGACUGCAAUCAGACUGAAGCGGCAACAUAGCCACUCGUAUCCCUGCACGAACUUGACUACCUUCAAAGGUUUCAGAAAGCCCUUAAGUCGCUCAUAAAAAAAGAUGAGAAGCCGUGAGAGCGUUGAACGUACUUGUGCCGGGAAUGAUCCCCUAAAAGUACAGGUCGUCGAAUCGGAAGAUCUUCACCAGAAUGCCAAAGAAGGAUUCCGAAGUUAUAAAAGAUAAAACUAGCAAAAACACUACCACACACUGACAAAAACUUAACAAAUACGUAUAAACGGAUCUGCGAGUAGACAAACCAAAAAUCUGUAAGAUCGGGUACACUGAAUCUAUGGUGACUAAAACUCUCUUACUCCGUGGCAACGCCCGCUGGAGCACCCCCACUAUUCGAGACGAUAUCACAACCUCCACCGUCGCGUUGCCAAUCAAAACCAAACAAUUGAUAUAACCAAACACUUGUGGAUACUUUUAAGAGUAAUUGAGAUUCCCCUCACCUCGCAGCGCCAAGACGGCGGCCAGAGGUGAGGGGAACGGACAAUCUUCAAGGUGGCCGCUGCUAGGUUUUUCUUCGGAAGAGAUGCCGGCCGGCGAAUCUUUCUUUCGAGUUAGACAUAAGUACUGGUAGAACACUAUUUGGUUGCGUUUGUCAAUUGCAUGAACGAGAGAUAGAAUAACAGAUGCGGCCUGGCCCAUCUUCCUUUGCAUUCACCAGCUGCCUGGGACAAACGGUCGAAUUCUGUAUUUCUUUGAAACCUAACAUGGCUGAGAGAUGCUUUGGAAGUUUGGAUGGUAUGCUGAUGCGGUUCACGAAAAAAUGAACUCGUAUGGACGACCAAUCAACCAUAACUUGCAUCCAGCGCACGGGUUCUGACGGAGGUUCACGAAGUAUAUAUGCUAAAAAAAAGAAGAAGAAGUAUAUGUGCUAAUGCUAAACAUGCCUUUGGUGCUGUUUUGCAGUUUCGCACACCCGUCCAAGGAGAUCCGUACAGGAAAGGGUUGGCCUACUUGAGUCAUGAUUGGACGAAGCCGAUUGACAAGAGCACAGUCCUUUUCUUUUGGGGAAUAGCACUGCGCUUUUCACUUUGCGUGUGGCGCGGUGCAGCACCUGCAGUGAAGCACUCUGAAGUCUGAACUCUCAACAGCGGCAGGAGGAUCUAAAGGCAGUCAUAUGUGCGAUUAAUUUGGUACAGGGGGAUCGAAGAGGUCUCAAAAGGAUAACUUAUGAUAAGGAAAACGUGAUCGGUUUCUGAUCAAGUCCGGAGAAACGAUUUGUGAAGCUGUGAUUUACCUGGAGUUGGGACGACGAGACGGACGGCGCCGUAGCACGGCAACCAGGUUCUCAAGGGACACGACAUUGAUUUAUCCACCAGACACUAGCAUUUGCCUUAUUGGCAUAGGCCGGGCCUCGCCUGUAGCAUGUACUGCCCCGGGCCGUAAAGGGAGAAUGAAUGAACGGGUCCGGCGGUUUUGUGGUACUCCAUGCAUUGGCCCAUCAGGAAAUUUCGAUGUCUGAUUGCACGGGCGGGUGCCGCUUCUCUUUCAGUCGAUCUUAUAUUUGCUCAGCAUUCAGCAAUAUCCUUUGCGCGGUCUGUACUUUUGUACCAUGUACAUCAUCAGUCCAUCGAAAAUAAAGCCUGUACGACCCCAUCUCAUUCAAUCGUAUUACCACGGAUCAGUCUGUACAUUGUACGUACGACACAUUUGAUAUCCAUCAAAAUGAUGGCGGAAUCCGUAUAACUCCAUCUCUUUUAGUUGCAACGCACAUCGCCAUGUCCGUGCUUUGUGCAAUAGAUCCUUUUUUUGGACAGUUGUGCGAUACAUCAAUCUGUCAAGAAAUUAACUUGGAAUUUUACGUACGCAGCUUCUGACCGUACGUGUUACAACUUGCAACAACCAGCCCUAAAUCAUCACUGUUUCUUUACUUCAAGUCGUCUUACGUGGUGGUAACUUUAACCGGACGAACUUCUAGACGACUCCGGCGCAUCGCUCACCGUCGAGGGAAAACAGCAAAAACCGUGAAACACGGGCCGCUCUCCAGCGGCUAGGGUCCAUGAGUCACGCGGUCAGGCCCAAGGUCGAUCUCGGCGACUUGUUCUGUGCUCUCCUUUGCCAGCCCAUGUAUAAUGUGUGGAAAAGCCCAAACUGAAGUAUCUUUCGGCCCAAUUUUAUACAGAGCCACUCCUUUGGGCGGGAGGCGAAGAGCGCAGCAUCUCAUCAGCAGACCAGCAGCCAUCGUCGCCAGCGGAAGAGGGCAAAACAGCCGCCCCCCGCUCCGCCCGAAGCGUACAACAAGGCUUCCGGUCGUAACGCGCGCGCCCGAAUCCAAUCGAGGCUCGGCGCAAUUGGAGCCUCCCGGAGUCCGGUGCUUGCGGCGUGGUACGCAUGGAUUCGCACGCGAUGGCGACCGGGUUCCCAAUGCUAGGGUUCCGAAAAUGUUACCGCCCAAUCGAGGUGAGUCCCUGAAGCACGAAAGUUUCUGUUUCUAGACGGGCUUAUAGGUGAUUUAGUGUGAUUCUAGGUUGAUCACUGAGAAAAAUCAGCCUGUGAAGUAGUAGUUCGUAUCUUUCCUGUUACUCGCAGUAACCCAGCUGCGUGAAUAAUUCCGGACUAUGUGUUGGCAUUUGUGGUAGGUUACCUUCCAGAAGGUGGAAUUUAGUAUAUGCACGAUAGGCGUGCUGAUGAGCAUCAGAUUCAAGAAGUAGUGUUGCUGUGAUUCGUGAAGUUUGUCUCAUGCGAAAUCUAAAACUAUUGCUACGAAUUAAAAAAACAUACUGCAUGUUGACAAACUAAGUACUCCCUCCAUCCCAUAUUAAGUGAUUCAAAUUUGCCCAAAUAUGAUGUAUCUAUGCCUAAAAAGCGUCUAGAUACAUGUAAUAGAAAGUCACUUAAUAUGGGACAGAGUGAGUACUUUAUUGAAUUGUGGUACUGCUCGGCUUAUAUGUGUAAAAGCCAUGAUGAAAAGGGGUGCCUUUUCAAAACAGAUUUAAGUGGGUGUUGAGCAAUCUCAUCUCAAUCUCGACCAUUGGUAACAAGUCAGACAGUUGAUAUGACCCUUAAGAGUUAACGGACCAUCACCACCAAUUGUUUUCUUUAUAGCAGCUGAUUGUAAGCAUGUUAUGAUAUACAGGUAACUUAAAUAUUUUCGUUCCAAAAUAUAUAAAUCUUGUGUAGAAUUUCAUGAUAGCAGUUCUUACUUCUUAGAGUUGUAGAUUACACAGAAUUUGUGUGAACUGCUUCCAGAUAUGAAACAUGCAAAAUCUUCAGAUUUUAGCAUGGCUUGGAAUGAGAACAUUAGAUUUUACCCUUUUUUGUUGACAUCAUUGGUUUCAGGGCUUCAUUUUGGCUUAAACAAAUGAAUAUGCCUUGGUAAAAUAUGAAAAUGCAUACAGCCUUUUGCAAGAGGAAAAGAAAAGUACGCGGAAUGGAAUAUGGUUCUUCAGUUUCCUUACCUUAUUGUUUCAACAACGGACGAGAACGUAGAUGCCCAAUUUGGUUAAGAAACAAGAAAGUUUAGUACGUAGAUUCCAUACUUUUUGUAAGCGAUAGGCUAGGACAGCUUUCCUUGAAAUAUCUAUCCUUUUACAGGUUCAGUUUGUUUGCAUCAUCUUGUUCACAUGACUUGUACCUGGCUUGGGUCACUUUGUCUGGCUUCAGUAGCAGGUUUACUUGUACUGUCACUGAGCUAUAAUUGUCUGGAGGUUCUCCGGUGUUCAUGUUUGUAGUAUAUUUAAGGAAUUCUGCACCCUAGACAUGGGUUGUCUGUUUAUGAUUAUGUCUGUAUUCACCCUAGGAUUGCAGAGCACCUCUAAAAUCCAGUUCAGCCACUUAUUCUGCUAUUCUAUUAUUUCUGUUUGCACCCCAGGUUCAAAACGAAAUUUCUGGUUUGUAUCCUUGUUUUCUGUCAUCUCUUGGUUGAAUGAAUCUUUACCACCUUUGCCGGUUCCCAACCAAGUUGUCGAUACAUUAAAAUCUAGCAUUAUACUGCUUUAGUUCUUGAAAAAUGUUAUGGGUUAAGGUUCUGUGAGUUAGGACCACCGUGGCACACAAAGAUUUUCCGCAAGGUUGAAAUAAUCAUACUAGUGAUCCAUUUCUCAUGUCAGAGUCAAUGUGGCUCAUGCACACAAUCACAUGCACGCUCUCAUUCUUAGACAUGAAACUAUGCACAUGCACACAUGGAACAUUAUCUUAUUAGAUAGAAAAACAACAAGCUUUCUCUAUACUAGCAAUAUGCAUGCUUUAUCAAACCCCAUUAUUAUUGCUCAUUGGGUAGUAUUAUGUGGUUCUGUCCAUCAAUAAUAAUUGCUCAGAUAGUCCACCAAAUUGCUAUUUGGUGCAAAUUGGUUUCUGGUGUCAGCUUAGAUUUUUAUGUGGAAGUUUCAGGACAAGUGGAGGGUAUGACGGAAGACAAGGCAUGUUCUCAUGCUUGAUAAAUUUAGUCCAGGCAGAAGCACCAUGGAGAUUGUUCUAUAGAUAGCUACAUUAUUUGCAUUUUUUAUGCCAUAAAAGAUUGCCUUAUGUGGAAUUUUACUGUUUUGUUUGAUUGCCUGAUCUUGUUGUUAUUUGUUCAAGUUACAAGCGAUAUAGAAAAGUUGUGCAGUCACAGCUCUGCAUUCGGUUAUUCAUUAGUCAAGAGAUAUUUCUUCCAUGUGGCGUGUUUCUGUGGUGUUUGUUAGCAUUCUUGUUUUGUUUUUUGACAUGUUUGUCCUUUGGCUGUCAUUAGUACUGUCAAAGAUCUGGGUGAAGGUUAUUUUAACAAGUUUAAGUAAAACCUCAUGAUACCCUGUUUUGGCUGGUGUAAUUUUUCUCUCUGUUUUCACCAUUGAGAAAUUGCUGAUUGUCUUUGUUGGCGAUGUGGGCUAACUAUUCCAUUCUAGUGUUAGGAUUUAUUUUUGUUACCUUUCUUUUGUCAACUUUGAAAGGCCUAUGUAUUUUUUUUAGUGUAGUUGCGCUCCAUAGUACUCCCUCCGAUCCAUAAAAAGUGUCACCCACUUAGUACAAAAUUUGUACUGACUUAGUACAAAAUGGGCGACACUUUUUAUGGAUCGGAGGGAGUAGCAUUUAAUUUGUACAUUUUGCUAGAUCAUAGUUGAGAAUCUGCAAAUUACAGUAGUAUCUAAGUAACUUGCAAUACUUGUUCAUGUCAUAAUUUCCCUUUUUUCUUGUUGGACAGCACCUGCGAUUCUGUACAUCGGUUGAGGCAGACUGGCAGAGUGCUAUGUUAAUGAACAUAGUUGCAACAUAUUGUUUGAAUUUAUCAUUCAAAAGCUUAUGGCAGAGAAGAAUUACUUAUGUCUGUAGUUAAGAAAAUAUUUCCUUUUUAAUGUAUAGAGUUAAAUUUCUAAGGCAAACUAUUAACUCCUUUGGCAAGCUAUACUAAGUAUAUACUUAUAGGAUGACAUGACCCAUGUGGCUCAUAUAAUCUUGGAUUGGCCCAUGUGGCCGUAACUCUGUUGCAUAUAAAAAAAUGCUUGCCAAUUGCAAUUUGGAAGAAGAUGCAAUGUUGUGAAUAGAUCUCUUCUUAAAAAGAAAAUUGUACGCUGCACAAAUUGAGUUUGAGAAGCAUGUGCAGAUGUAUUUAAUUAUUUAUUUUCAUGAGAGUGAAUUAUUGAAGCAUUGGAGGGAUAAUACAUAAUAGCUGGACAUUGGAGCCCUGAAGUCUUAUGAGUUGUUUAGUGCAUUCGAUGAAGGUUAUAGCAUGGCGAUGGUUUGAUUCUUUUGCUUAAGCUUGCUAUCAUACGCUAUAGUGUACUCUUAAGAUAAGCUGUACAGAAGUAUGAAUAUAUCUGGUAGAGUUUACCUCUUCUAUCUGUCACAUUCUACAUUAAAAAUUCACUUGUGGCUGUAAAGGUCAAUAGUGAUGAAAAAAUACUGGAAAGGUUCUCAUGUGUUUCCGCUUCAGAUUAUUUAAUUUACACUGCUUCAGAGGAUAGAUUCGCUAGCUUAUAAAAGUGGUGAUUGUACAUUUCAAGCAACAUGAGGGUGCACCUUUGUCAUUAUUGUAAUCGGUUAUCAAAACCCAACAGGCAAAAGUAGUGAAAAGAAAAUUCUUUCUGCAUUCUUGGUGGCUCUGGCUCCUUAAUUUACAGUUUGGAUACCCAAAGCUUUCACUUUUCCUAGUGGUUUUGUUCCAUCAUUAUGAUGGAUCAUAUAAUAUGAUUUUUUGUACUUGUUUGAUAAACACAAGUUACGAUGAUGAGUAUUUUGCUACUGCAUCUACCUGUUUUCUUGAAGAAUUCAUAUAGCCUUGUAGGUUGUAGGGAGCUUUUCUGACUUCUGACUGGCAAACACUAUGGUUCUCUAGGACACCUUUUCUUUACCCUCCGAACAACCAACAAAUUCUGCAUCUUUUAAUCAAACAGGCUAUAUUGGAAAUGUAUAACGAGGCGGCAUUAUAAUAGUCAUUAUUAUUAUUAUUAUAAGAGGAUCUUUAUUGUAAGACUGCAUUUAUAAUUACAUGUGGAAACUUAAUAGUUUUAUGAAACAUAAAUUCAAAAUUUCCAUUGUAUCUGCUGCCGCAGUGUUUGGGCUACAAAGUAAUGAUGCUCCAACUGGGCGAUAUAUUUGUUUUAUUUGUAAAACCUUAAGCAAGAAUAUUAUUUCUCAAUGAUUUAUCUAAUAAUCUGCAGCUUUUUGGCAGAGUUCAAGCAAUCCAUUACAUCUUUUUGACUUCAAUUAUGGAAUACUGCUGAUGCGCCUUCAGUUAAUGCAUUAGAAAAUAAAACCACUCCUUAUCAGUUUCUCGGGACUGCCUUAUUCAUUAUGAUCUUGUGACUGAUUUGCAGCCUCUUGCCAUGUAAGUAUUUUUUCCCCGUGUAUCAGAGUCAACUGGACACUGUUCAAGCACUGACACAGUGGCGAAUGCCCUAUUCAUCCCAAAGCACCGGUGAGGUCUCACGCUGUGAGGUAUGAUUUCCAUCAUUGUUAAUUUUUCUUCGUUCUCACUAAAUGGUAGUACUAUUGUCUCCUGGUAAUAAUUCUUUCAUAUUAUGUACUCCCUCCGAUCCUAAGUUGUUGUCGAAAUAUUACAUGUAUCUAGACGCCUUUUAAGAAUAGAUACAUCCAUUUUUGGGCAAAUUUGAGACAAGACUAUAGGAUCGGAGGGAGUAUUAAUCUUCUGCACACUGUAAGUGUUUAGGUGUUAUGUUGAUACCUUGUGUAAUACAGUCAGUAGAUAAAAACUGAACCUCAGUGCAAUACCCUUUCUUCAAACAUUAUGAUGGUUGAUCAGGAUGUGCGCAAAUACACAUAUCGCGGGAAGAAGUUCUAUACUACAAAAGAAAAAGAAAAACAUUGGAAUGAACCAACCGGCUCAUCCUCCAAGGACUCCGCCAUCGCGUGAAAGACAACUCCGACAAGAAAGGAAUUUGGCCGAAACUCUCAUCCGUACUCUAGGGGUUUUGCACUACCAUUAGUCACUCCACCAGUCGGACACAAUUCUCCUUGGUAGGUGGUGCCAAAGCUGUACUCCCCACCAAGUCGAACACCGUUCCUUUUACGUUUAGAUGCUUCGCGAGGCCACGCCACUUGCAGUCAAAUCAAUAGUGUAAAGAAGUAAAUUCAACAAUAUUUGAAAUUUGACCUGCACCCUUUGGCUCAUUGCCAUGCCUGAAGCUCAAGGGGCCACUUGUUGGGUACAACUAUUUCCCAAUUGGUGUUGUGUGUAAACCCUACGCGGCGUAUACAUGGCGAAGACCAAGUCAAUACAAGUCAAAUGAGUUCAAGGUGGUCCACAAGUCAACGAGUCAAACAAUAUGUCAAACAAAUAAAAGAUUGAAUCAAAGAGAGAGGCCCAAGAAGAAAAAGGCCCCAAGAGGUGGAGGGAUGAGAGACAUGGUCCACCAUUGACCACUCCUCAUACCUAGUCCAACAUGGACACCCUUUACCUUCUUGCCUCUCCUUUUUCCAUCCCUCAAGGGCACCCUUGGUGUUUUGUCAAUGGGCCUUGGCCUAUAUGAAGACUGCCAAGGUUGAGUUGUAACCAUUCCACCUCAAGUGAAUAAACCCAAAGGGAGAGACAUAUAGCUCCGAGGGAGCUCUGGUCUCAAUCCCCGGGAAGUCCCACACGCCCUGGAGUUGAGAGUCGAUGUGGUUUGGGAGGUUUGGAAACUCGCUCCAUUGAUGUAGAUGGACCUAUUCAAAAGAGAAAAAAAAACAUCGACAUCUCAUGUUUGCUGAGUGUUCGACGAUGACCUUCACAUAAUGCCGUCGUACUUGACCACUAACAUCAUGUUGCAACCAUCACCUGUUGACAUGCGCUAACUCUAGUGUUGCUCUACAAUGACAACAUAUACGAUGUAUGCUUAGCACACAUCUCUUGCUAACUCUAGCAACUUGGCAAAAUUUAGUAUGUGGUAUGCAUAUCAGUAAGAGGUGAAUAAUGACCCCCUUCUGAUUGCUACAUGCUACGUUGCUGCACAGAUCUCACCACACAAUUGCCCCCCCCGCCCCCCAUAAGAACUGCUGCAUCAUUUGUUGUACUUCUGCUGCGCACAUCUGGCCCUGUUUGGUAGGUUCUCUUCUAACCUUUUUAGCAGCUAUCAACCUGUAUGUCCAGCUAAGGAAAAUGUCUUGUACUCUUGCGUGCCCCUAUUAACUUCUCAUCUGGUGUUACCUGCCACCCAUAUUGCCUCAAUUCCAAGAUUCCAAUUACUGAGUAAGGUAUGUGUGCUGCAACACAAGUUAGCAAAAGGCUAAGGUUGUAAGGAGCUGAGACACCCUUUUUUCUUAACGAGCUUCUGGACUUGCUUGUCCUGUUCUUGGCAAUUUUAGAUUUCUACCUGUAGAACUUGGGAUUGAUUUAACUUCAACUGCAGUUAUAUGCAUCCUUAUUCGUUUGUUUGAAGUUGACCUUUAAAAUUAUUAGGCCCUACCAUUGAGAUAGGGUCGGGGAAGGCACUAUUCUUGUGUAGGGUUCUUAUGAAUGGAAAAAGGGAAUUUGGUACAACACUUGGUCAAUGUCUACAGAAGUCAUUUGUCAGACGCAGUGUCAUGUUGUUGAUUUUAACACGAAGUGCUGACGGCUGGCAACUGUUGAUGUCAAAUAAUUUCUCCAAAUAGGCGUUGUGUUAGAAGCAAGAUGCUCCAUGGACAAUCAUUGGAAACUCCAAAUUUUUCGAUUUGCCAAGACCCUACCAGUGAGCUUCCUAAUUCAAGGAAUCUUAUUGGAUUAUUCUUGAGGUGUCCAUGGUGCUAGUUUUCUUGACACUGAUGGAGUUAUUUGCCCCUGAAGCUGAUGGAUGCUUAACUUAUGGUUUGUGGAUACUUGAAGGCGAUCUUUACAGGUGAAUGGUGUUAUUAUCAUAUAUGCUUGCUUUAAUGGAGUCUGUCGGCUGAUGGGAAAUACUCUGCGCGCUCGGCUUAUGAGGCCCACUUCCUGGCCAUGAUUCCGCAGCCCCUCCUGUGCAGAGUGGGGAAGAUUUGGGCAGAAAGGAAGAUCAGGGUUUUCCUGUGCUGUUGCUGCAAAAUCGUAUCUGGACGGCGGAUAGGCUACAUGCUAGAGGUUGGCGUCACGAUGAUAAGUGCUCCCUUUAUGAUCAAUGCUUGGAAAGUGCUAGCUAUCUGUUUAUAACCUAUCCCUUCGCUAGAGAGCUUUGGUUCCUCCUGAGCGAUCGCAGCCCUGGCAUUGCUCCUGUUGCCUUGUCGUCAACUACUCGACUUUGGUUAAAUCCUGCUGGAGGAAGCUUUUGACGCUGGGUCUCUCUGCUGUUGCCAAAGACUGCUUAUUUCCUCUGGCACAUCUUGAAAGAGAGGGGUAGAAGAAUUUUUGAGCAAAGAUCGAUGCCGGCGACCAUUCUGAAGAGUGUUGUUAUUGAGGAUCUUUGCCUCCUGGGUGAUGGGGGGUAGUCUUUCUUUCAUUGUUUUCUGUUGAGCCAUUCCCUUGUUGCCCUGAUUUUUUUUUUCCGUCGGUGUUCUCUUUUCUGUAUUUGUACUCUGUUCUCCUUUUCAUCUAAUACGAAAAAGGCAGUGCUCCUGCCAUGUCCGUAAAAAAGAACAAUAAAACACACAGUUCAUAAGUAACCUGAAGCUAAAUUUGAACUUCUAGGUUGCUGGGGCACUCAAUAGGGGAGAAUAAAUCAUGGCACGCGAGGUUACCUGCUGUAGUUGCUUUAGCUAAUAUAUGCACUUCUCUCCUUUUUAGAAAUCUUGCUUUAGCUAAGUUAGCUUUAACAUUUUUAGUAACAGCAAUGUACUUAAUUCCUCUUGUCAUGAAAAAAAGUGUGUCAGAUCAUCAUGAUCAAUGUGUCCCAGGAGGUUACGCGUCAUGCACAGUUCAGUGAUUAAACUAUGCCACAACUAAUGUCUUAUGCAAUAUGCAUACUCUCUUUUAUUCAGAACUUGCCACAUGUCCGCUGAGUGUCUAUCAAUGGGCAUAGUUGAUCUCAUUCAAAGGGUGAGACUACUUACAUGGGGGGUAUACAGGGCAAAAGAACUAACUAAGCUAGGGCAUGCAUUCGAAGCUGGCCACAGAACUAUAUCUAGACUGCCACCCUCAUAACUUCCUCUCUACUCUUCAUCCUUUCUCCUCUUCUCUUCUGCACCAAUCUCCUCAAAAUAACGAGUAUUCUUAUAUACCAUUCACAACUCCAAGAAAUCUUCUUGAGAUACAACAUAUCUUCUCUGUCAUCUUUUCUCUGUGGUGCAUGCAUUCAUGUGCAACAGAGUUGAGAUCGAAGCAAACACGGCCAUAUAAUACUAGCUAGAUCAAGGAAACCUAUUACGUGCAUGGAUCAUUGGAGUGAAAGUGAGGGCAAGAGAUCCCAUGAUCCUAUCUUCCAAACCAAACUCAACUGCCGCCAACAUGUUGAAGAUUUCUGCAAGAAGAGGGCAGAUGCUGUCGCUACUAGUACGGGGCGAUGUAUCUGGGUUCCCGGGCCAAUCGUCGUGGGUGCAGGACCAUCAGGGCUUGCUGUCGCUGCAUGUCUCAAGGAGAAGGGGGUGGACAGCCUUAUCCUCGAGCGCUCCAACUGCAUAGCUUCCCUGUGGCAGCUCAAAACAUAUGACCGUCUGAGCCUUCAUCUUCCCCGGCAGUUCUGUGAGCUUCCUCUCAUGCCUUUUCCUACCGAUUACCCUAUUUAUCCCUCAAAGGAGGAGUUUGUAUUGUACCUGGAGGAGUAUGCUGCAAGGUUUGGCAUCUGCCCCACGUACAACCACGAGGUGGUAUGUGCAGAGUAUGAUGAGAAGCUUCUGAUAUGGCGGGUGAGGACGCAAGCUACAGACAGAAUGGGAGAGGUUGUAUAUAUGUCUCGGUGGUUGGUUGCGGCUACUGGUGAGAACGCUGAGGUUGUGCAGCCAGAGAUUGAUGGCCUCAAAGAGUUCAAGGGAACGGUUUUGCACACCAGUGAAUAUAAAAGUGGCCUAGCGUUUGCUGGGAAGCGUGUUCUUGUUGUUGGCUGUGGCAACUCUGGCAUGGAGGUGUGCUUAGAUCUCUGCAACAGCGGUGCACAGCCCCAUAUUGUAGUAAGAGACACUGUAAGUGACUUUCUUCUACAUCUCUACCAUUAUUGUUUUUGCAAUGUUAUAGUCAUUAUACCCUGAACUAUGUCUUACUACUUAUAUGCCUCCCACUAUUAACCCUUGGCAAGAGAUAGACCUAGACUAAUGAGAGGAGGACCUCCCCCCUGGUUAAUAUUUAUAGGUUAUACUUGAUGGGGUGCCAGUUUCGGCUAUGGCGGAUAUCAGCGGCUUGAGUGUGCUUAUCUCUAGCUUAUCUACUUGAGGAAGGUCUGUGUCUGAAAACAAUUAGUGUGCAUCAAAAUCAGGAUUUUUCAAGGCCAGAUCGAUUCUUGCACCUGCACUACAGUUGGCUUUAUUUAUGUGCUGGUCAGGGUUAAGAACACGCCGUCAUUGAGGAACUGGGAGAGACUCUUGCAGUGGAAGCCUUCUCUAUUUCUGCCUCUUAGUCUUUGAGUUCUUUCCUUCUCGUGAUUCAUUCCACGCGCGUGUACCUGCAGCUUUUCUGCUUAUCUCUAUUUGUUUCUUGCACAUUUUAUUUUGGUUCUUUAAUUAGUUCUGAUAAUAGUUUUCUUGCCCCAAGGAUAGUGCAAAGAGCGUUCUCGUCUAUACUUCCAUGGGAAAACUAUGGUUUGCACAUGUUAGCCAUGGGUCCCCGUCACCACCAGGAGAACAUAGCAUAAGUCUGUCACUUGGAAAGAAACAUUAACAAAAUGACUUGAGAACCUACCUUUCAUGAGUCACGUCUAGGUGCAUUCCUUUCUGACAGCUCUAUCAGCUUUUAAAGAGCUUAGUGAGAUAUUUUAAGCAAGCUUGCAUUUGUUUUUAAAAUGCAAGCUGGGGUUUGCAUACUAUACUAUGUUGGAGAUAAGGGAAUAAGUUUGGUCCGGAACCAAAUGGGUCAUGUUGCUUGUUGUAGCAAGCAGAAAGCAGACUUUUGGAAAAGAUAAAUUUGUCUGAUUAAAUUUAUGAUUCAAUCAUUAGUCCAAAUAUCGCAUUGCUUUUUGUGCGCCCUAGCUAAGCUUUUGUUCAUCGUUGGCAGGUACACAUCUUGCCAAGGGAGAUGCUGGGUAAGUCCACCUUUGGGCUGUCAAUGUGGCUGCUUAACUGGCUUCCAGUCCACAUGGUGGACCUGAUUCUGCUGUUCGUAGCAUGGAUCAAGUUUGGGGAUACUGCUCAGCUCGGGCUAAAGCGACCUACCAUCGGUCCUCUCGAGCUCAAGUCACUCUCAGGAAAGACCCCAGUUCUUGAUGUUGGCACAUUUGCUAAGAUUAGGUCUGGCAAUAUCAAGGUAUGUUUCAUAUCACUGGAGUAUAAACCAGCACUAAAGGGACUGCUUGAACUGGAGUCCUUAGAUCGGUCUUUGCCUUGAUUCAAGUACUGAGCUUCAAUUUUCCAUUGGUUCAACUGUGCAGGUGCGUCCGGACAUAAAACAGAUAUCAGGACGACAGGUAGAGUUUUUGGACAGGCAGACGGAAGACUUCGAUGCGAUUGUGCUUGCUACUGGCUACAAGAGCAACGUCCCCUUCUGGUUAAAGGUACAUCACAUUCUUAUAGCAGCAUGCCUAUUAUAUAAUGGAGGGUAUAGUGUUAGUCGCGGGGAAUGAACAGGCAAAUGUGUAAUGAAAAUGCUGCAAGAAUUAUCAAAAUGAAUCCAAAUGACAUUUAGAUGAAAAAAUGUUGUGGAACCUCUGCAAGAUUUGAUUGUGCUGUCAUAUGUCCGUUUAUAUUUUCUUCUGCAUCCUGGCUUUGAAAUGGGCAGGACCGGGAGUUGUUUUCGGAGAAAGAUGGCUUGCCAAGAAAAGCAUUUCCAAACGGGUGGAAGGGCGGUAGAGGGCUCUACUCGGUCGGAUUCACCCGACGCGGUCUGAUGGGAACCUCGGCCGAUGCGAGGAGGAUUGCUCACGACAUCGAGCAACAAUUGAGUGCCGAAGGGAAGCAUCCGGACGUGCUGCUCUAGCUCCCAUUGCUUUUGUUUGCCGCAGCGACAGGAGGAAGCGUGCCAUCCAUCUCAAGUUUGUGAAUAUAUGUGUAGGUUUGGCGAGAGUGAUGCCAUAUUUGCCGACCUCAACGGUGCAGUUAAAGUGGCAAAUGGUGUAAUGCAUGUGUUGCAUGCUGUGGUGCUUGCCUUUUUAGUGCUUGUAUAGGGUAUUUGUAUUUGUUGAUUUUUUUUUUGUGUUAUUUGCGUUUGAUGACUAACCAUCCUAUAGGCAGUUCUGUAUCAUCCUCGGAGGGGUAAUAUUGAAGUGCCCAUGUUCGACAAUCGGGCUCUGUUGGCCUCGACUGAUCAAUGUGAAUCUAGAUUGGUUUUCCGUGUCUCACGUUUGUAUAAUUGCUACGCCUGUACUUGCUCAUCAAGUUUGCUCCAAAAAAAAAAUACUAUCUCGGGUUCUACUAAGUGACUCAAAUUUGUUCAAAUAUGAAAUAUAUUUAUAUUCAAAAAAUAUUUACGUACAUGUAAUAUUUUGUCACUUAAUAUGGGACUUAAUAUGGGAUGGAGGGACUAACACAUGUACAUUGCUUUUCGAGCUCAUUCGUCAGGUUUGCUCAAUCAUCACUUGGUAGCUGGGCAUCCGUUUUGUUCGCGUAUCAAAAGCGAAAUGACAGUAACUGAUAGGGGGUUCAAAUACGGUUUCAUCUGAAACCGUACUAAUUCGAACAGUAACUGAUAGGGAUGAUUGGAGCUACCGAAGAAAAUCGAACUAAAACCAGAAUUCAACGGUUUACGCGGUUCGUAUCAAAACCCUAUUUAAACACUGACGGAGCCGGUGAGGUUCCACAAAAGUCACUCUGGGGGCAACGAGGUAAUUCUUGGCACUGCAAAGACAAAACAAAUAUUCCUCGGAUUCCCUUUCACUGAGGAGAAGACAGCAUGCGACACUAGUAUCUUUGUUUUUCAGUUUUCCCUUUUAACCUUUUUACCCCCUCUGCCCUUGUUGAUGAUUGUUCCUCUUCACCAAGGUACCACUUCCUCUUAAAAAGAAAAGUGCUGAUACUUUGCACCCCGAAACAGAUCAUGGCUGAACGAGAUGCUUUGCUAUUGACGAGUUGCUAAUAAUCAGUAAAGAUCGGUAUGUAUGGACUCGCCACAACUAAAGAAUUUUAUUUUGUAAUAUGACAGGUACAGGGCAAUCACAUGCAUCUGAAACGUGGAUUGCUUCCCUCCAAACACGUUGACUACACUUUUGCGCUAGGAUAACACGAUGGAUGGAUACAACAUUUGCAUCAGUCAUGUAACCAGAUAAACCAGAGUAUAUAUGGUCGUGGUGGCUAUAACAAAAAAUAAAAAAAAAACAAACUCAAGCAGAACAGAGCUAAUUUAACCACUUUUCUAAAUUAACGAUCCUCUAACGAAAAUAUAACAAAUUGUGUAUCGGUAUUGAGCUUUAAAAUGUCAUACAAUCAGUUAUGCAUCUUUCUUAUCCGUACGAAUUUUGCUAGCAUCGGUUUUAUGGGGACAAUACGUACAUUCUCUGCGGCAUGUUCGGGCAUGCAGCUCCCAGCCAAACACAAGAGAACGAACAACAUAAUUUGAACGUAUAGCAUCCAUCAUCAACUCAAGCAGUGAGCGGUGAACGGACAAGAGAGUGCAACAAUCAACUGUAGCGUUUUAGUGGACGUUCCAAUCAGGUUGCAGGAGCUUAAUUAGGUUAAUUAAUGUCCAAACCAAAUUCCUGACCCGUCUCUCUCUCUCUCUCUGACUUAUCUGUAUCCGAAGCAAACCCAUGCAUAUCGGCUAUGGCCUUUAUGUCCAAGCCAAAGAGAAAAGAACGAAGACGAGAGUGCAACCAUUGUAGCAUCUCGAUCAAGUCAAGUGGCAAGCAAAUGGAAGUGAUGCAACCACGUCUCAUGCAGCAGGCAGCUAAGUUAAUCAACCGGCUCCCGAGUCUCACAUGCAAGCCAUCGGUCAUGAUUCACGACGAGGCCCUCCCUGGCCCGAUCGUAGGAAGCGAAUAAAAUCAGAAACGUACAGAUACGCGCGUGUCGUUGCAUGCGGGCGCGUUUAUUCGAUCUCCGACCCCCCCCCCCCCCCUUCAUAUAGUAGCCCUUUGUCCGCAACGGCGCGCAUAAUAUCUCUGGCUAGCUUGACGAGGUGGAUCGAGCCAGCGUAUGAUUGGGCUGACGGUGACUCACCCCUGUUCGUCCACAGUGGACGAAUGGAGUGCCAGUCGAACUCAAACGUCGACCCUACGUGCGUGCGUGCUUUUCCUACCCAAUUAACACAGCUAGGACCGCCGCAGAGAUCCGAUUCUCGGGUGGGUGGAUGGAUGGAUCGCCUAAAUCCGCUAGCUAGCUGCUGCUCCAGUAGCCCGGUUUGAUUAAACAAGGCAACAAAAGUCUCCCGCGCACUGUCCACUGAUGUAAAGGAAAAAAGGAGUGGACACGGCCGGGCCGUGGAGAGCUAGCUAAGCACAUGCGGGGAGCAAAGUUGGAAAAGCGUCCCAAGGCGCUGCCACAUGCGCCCAUGGACGCCAUUUCAUGCAGCUGGCCGGGAAUCGAAGCUAGGACGUGCAACGCAAGUGCGCCUCCGGCCGGCCCUCACACACACCGAUCUCCCCCCGGCUAGCUCUAGUUGUGUGCCGGCCUGCGGCAAUAUCACCAUCCGCACCGGCCGGCCUCUCCCAGGUCCUUGGAAGGCAAAGGCGUGCCUCUUUGGGACCUCGCUUUCCCGAGGCGGACCUGGCCGGCCGGCCUCCCUCGGCAAAGCACGCGCGCGCCCUACAUGAUUCUCUAGCUUGCUUCUUCCGUGCGGCGCACUCGGCAUGAUUGCCAACAGUGCCGGUCUUGGAUCCUCUACCUAGCUACACUUGGGGACACCGGACGUACCGAGCGCGAGCCAACGGUUCACAACAAAUGGCAGCGCCGAGUGCGUGCUCCAGAGAUCUUCUGAAAGGCAGAGAGUGAUUCCCACUAUGUGCAACACUGGUGCUAUAUAUUUGCCUUGGGUACGAUAGGGUAUAUGCAGGGGGAGAUUCUUGCAUGUAGGCAUGUACUCCUACUAGUCGUGUCAAAGGGGAUGAGGGCGCAUGCAGCAGUGGUCGAAUCUGCAGCUGGUUGCCCUGCCUGCGUCUUUUCGAGCUGAAAGGUCAGCGUUACCAUAAAUGAUCAAAGCCGUGAAAGAGACUGCGUUAACUAGUUAAACAGGGAGUACUUGCCCUGUACUAGGAUAAUCACUCUAGUUAAUCUCGCCUUUGCAUCUGGCGGCCCAAUCACCUCCGAUCGCCGCGCCCUACGACCCUCCUUGUUAGUACUCCUGCUCUAUGCGUAAUGGUGAUCUCCUCGAGUCGUAAAGUGUAGUGCAUGUCCGGAUACCCCUUGAAUAGCUCGGAAGGCUAGCCUCUCUCGUCUCCUCCAUCCUGGGGCACACCCAGCGGCCGUGCCAGUGUUGGCCGCCUGGCCGGUAUAUAUCUACUAGUAAUGCGCUAGGUGUACAAUAUUCCGUCUCAAACAAGGCUUUUCUUUUUGCGGGUAUCUCAAACAAGGCAUUGAGCGCGCUUCCGUCCACUACCCAUGCAACUAGAUCUGGUAUAACAUAUGCGUAGUGGUCAUUAGCUUAGAUUACAAGUACUGUGUCCACCGGCCAGGUCGACAUAUAUAGUGGUCGACGACUCGAAUCUCGGUGCCUUUAUUCCCGACGGAGGCAGGCAUGAAUCUAGAGAUUCUUGGGAAUGAUAAGAGGUGAUCAACAAGUUUACGGCGUGGCGCAUCAGGUUUGCGUCAUGCCCAUGCACCGUGCUUGCAUCCGGACUUAGUGUACAUGGUAGGGUUCUACAGUACGUCCCUAGCUAGCGGAGCUGGGACCGUCAGGUGGUUUUUGUUUCCCAAAAAUUAAACUAUAUCUACCAAAAAAAAGGGCGUGGCUAUAUAUUAAAGCACCAGAUUUUUAAGUAAAUAAAAGGUUUAAAUAUCAGCCGACUCAUCAGAACCGUUGAAUCAAGAUCUAUAUGUCAUCCCUGCUCUCUCCUUUCUCAUAUACUAUUGUUGAUUAAAAUCUGACGACCAAACCCGAGUGAUCUUUAACUAAAAAACAUGUGAUUUUUCAAUGGCAGAGCCGUGCAAAAAAACUAGAUAAGGAAUGGAAAUGCUCAUCUGCAACAAACGCACAAUCUUAAUUUUAUUACAAAGUGUGUGACUGUGUGCGGAGAACGACCCAAAGAGAAAGAAUGCAAACAAGCUACGUACGUUGAAAACAAGCGGUAAAAACCUUACACGUCUGCCACUCAAAAUGAGAAAUAAGUCUAGUUAUGAGCUCCAACAUACCUGCUAGUCGUAAAUUCAAUUCGUCUUGUAGUUGUGGUAUGAAUGCAUGGAUCAUGAUCGCAACCAAUUGACACAUGAGAAUAGCAUGCAAAGAAUUCGAAAAAUAUUUACUUUCGUUUGAAAAUAUGAUGCAUAUAAAUUUCCUAAAUUAUAAAAAGCUGACGUUCUUUAUUCCGAGCGCUCACGCGCACGCUUCUCAUUGGCGGAGCAAGUUUCAACGUGGCAUGCACGUUUGGUGAAACUGAAGCUAGCACAUCUAUCAGCGUCCACUUGAUGACUUGUGGGCCCCGUGCACAAACCGUGCCACUUCUUCUACUUUUAUUGCCUCUUCGAACUGCUCCACAUUUUUCACCAACCUGUCCGUCGUCUCGCUCGCUUCCUCGCUCUGCUGCUCCGCCACCCGUUAUUUCACCGGCGGCGGCCGACAUGAAUCGCUACGACGCUGCCGUUCUGCACCGCGCGCUCGCUGGCUUUGAGGUAUCGGUUCCGUCGCGCAUUUUUGUCGUGAUUUCAUCACCCGUUAGGGUUCUCGUGUUGUUUCGAGUGAUUUCGAGGGUUUUGAGAGCAGGAAUGUCGUGCAUGCGUUUUGAUUUGUGUGUGUGAUUCAUCGAUUUGUGUCCAAUUUCAUGAGUGGAUCAUCGUGGUGUAGGAUAGGGUUCCAGAGAUAUGGCGAUUUGGGGGUGGCAAAUUGAGUGGUUUUUGAGAGGGGGGCGAUUUGGCAGGCUCGUUUUGUUCGCCUCAAUCCCGUGGUCAAACCAUGGGAGUUCGCCUUCCUCGCGCCUACACGUCGACUGCUUAGUUCGGGGCGACGGGGCCAUGGGGUUCGUGUCAUUGUUCAUCCUCAUUUGUUCCUCAUCCUUGUUCCUCUCCUUGUCCUUUUGGUUCAUUUGUUCGUGAGCUGGUGAAAUCACGGGGUUGCUUAUUUUGUAGUGCGGUUGAUUUGUCUAUUGAUCCGGCGACGGGUUUGCUAUUUUGAACUUUUUCUGGGCGGAUGUGGCUGAUUAGCAGUCAGCCCAGUUAGCACUGCGGGCUUAUUUUCCUGGUGAUUUCUGACCCUUAUUGGUGUUGCCAUGUUAGGUCUGGCAAACCGUGCGAUUUUGGGGUGGUAGUUCCUCCCUGAGUAUUUUGGUGUUUUUUUAUUGGGUCAAAUUCACAAUCCAUUGUUUGGUCAACAUUUGGGUUUUAGGGGGAACCAAACCCAUUUGUUUAGUCGUUGUUCAACUUCGGUAACAGGAAGGGAAUUAGAUAAUUAUUUUUUGCAGGCUUUGUUGCGUUCCUGUGUAAUUAGGUAGUCAAUUGUGUAUCAUUGAGCUGGCAAUUUAUGUUCGUUGUGUAGGUUAUUCCUGUAAUUAGGUGUUCAACUUAGGUUAUUCCUGUGUAAUGAGGUGUUCAACUUCUGAAACAGUAACCUGGUAAUUUAGGUUGUGUGUAUUAGGUUAUUUCUGGAUACAUAUGCUUAUGGUACAUUACAAAUUUGGUACUAAUCUGCUAUUGCCAUCGGCAGUACUAUGGGUAUUCCAAUUUAAAAAUGUGCAUGUUCUCAAGCUAAAUAUUGUUGAUGUUGGAUGUAAUUUAGUCGGGUCAUUUUUGUGUAAUGUGGUAGUAGUCGGGUCAUUCACGGCAACCCUCGAAAAAUGGCAGCAUCCUAGUGGAUUUGUCAUGUGAUAACUUUGGUGCUCCAUGUCUGGUAGUUUCAUAUUUGUCAUGUGAUAACUUCAUUUUUGGAUGCACAACAACCUUAAAGAAUGAAAGUUUCCUGGUGCAUUAGUUACGUGGUAACUUUGCUACUUCGUGUCAGUUCGUUUUUGUGUUUGUCAUAUGGUAAUUUCAUUUUUGGAUGCACCCCAACCUUUGAGAAAUGCAACUUAUUUGUGCAUUUGUCAUGUGGCAACUUUUCUGCUUCAUGCUUGGUAGUUUUGUGUUUGCCAUGUGGUAUCUUCAGUUUUGGAUGCACGACAACCUUGAAGAAUGGUAGCUUCCUAGCGCAUUUGUCAUGUAGCAAGUUUACUACUUCAUGCCUGAUAGUUUUGUGAUUGUCAUGUGGUAACUUCAUUUUUGGAUCAACUGCAACCUUAAAGAAUGGUAGGUUUCUAGUGCACAUCACGGCAACUUUGUGUUUGAUAUGGUGGCAACUUUUUAUUUCAUAGCACGGUAACUUUGUGUUUCAAAAAGUCGCAACUUCAUUUCUCACCGGUAGUUUCAUAAUAGUAGGACUGGUAAUUCUAGUCUGUUUAGCAUGGCAAUUUCAAUCUAGAAUUGCCAAAUGUCUCAGUGGUAGUUUCAGAAUUGUAGUUCUAGUAAUUUCAGUCUAUUUAGCAUGGCAACUUCAAUCUAGAAUGGAUGAGUGUCUCACUGGUAAAAAAUUUGGUCCAUGGUUAGCAACUUGACUUUGUAUAACAUGGUAGUUUCAAUCACAAUGCAUUAGUAACUUGAUGGAAUGUUAACUUAAUUUAUAUUUCACGCCUACUUAGCAUGUACAUAUCAUGGCAAUUUCGGUUAGAUUUCACUGGCAAGUUUAUGUAUAUUAGCAUGGUUACUUCGGUCAAGACUAAUUGUUUUUGUGUUUUUUUUUACCACAGAAACUGUAAUUUCCGAAGAUUCUAUGACAGCUUCGUUUGUGAUUAGUACCGCUAUUUGUAAUGAGAUGCCUAUUUUUGUCCGAGGAAAACUGUAAGUUGCGUAAACUUUUUCUACGUGUAGUGUAUUUCUACAUGAAUGACAUGGUUUGUAAUGAUGGCAGUUUAAGAAUAGUAGGCCCGGUAAUUCAAUCUAUUUAGCACAUCAACUUUUCAAAUCUAGAAGGGAUAAAUGCCUCACUGGUAGUUUCAAAAUAGUUGGCCUGAUAAUUACAGUCUAUUUAGUAUGGCAACUUUAGAAUUAAUACUAGGCCUGGUAAUUCCAAUCUAUUUAGCAUGCCAACUUCAGAAUUUUAGGCCUAGUGAUUUUAGUCUUUUUAGCAUGGCAACUUAAAAUCUAGAAGGGUGAAUGUGUCUCACUGGCAGUUUCAGAGUAGUAGGCCUAAUAAUUCUAGUCUAUUUAGCAUGCCAACUUCAACAUAGUAGACCUGAUAAUUUCUGUCCAGUCAGCAUGAGAACUUCACAUAUAGAAGGGAUGAAUGUCUCACUCGUAGUUUCCGAAUAGUAGGUCUGAUAUUUCCUGUCUACUUAGCAUGGCAAAUUUAUAAUAGUAAGCCCAGUAAUUUCGGUCUAUUUUACAUGGCAACUUCAAAUAUAUAAGGGAUGAAUGUGUCUCACUGGCAGUUUCAUAAUAGUAGGUCUGAUAAUUCUAGUCUGUUUAGCAUGGCAACUUCAGAAUAGUACGCUUGGUAAUUUCUGUCUAAUCAGCAUUACAACUUCACAUCUAGAAGGGAUAAAUGUCUCACUCGUAGUUUCACAAUAGUAGGUCUGGUAUAUCCUGUCUAUUUAGCAUGUCAAAUUCAGAAUAAGACCCAGUAAUUCCGGUCUAUUUUGCAUGGCAACUUCAAUUCUACAAGGGAUGAAUGUGUCUCACUGGCACUUUCAGAAUAGUAGACCUGGGUAAUUCUAGUAUGUUUAGUAUGGCAACUUCAGAAUAGCAGGCCUGAUAAUUUCUGUCUAGUCAGCAUGACAACUUCAAAUCUAGAAGUGAUGAAUGUCUCACUCGUAGUUUCAGAAUAGUACAUCUGGUAUUUCCUGUCUAUUUAGAAUGGCAAAUUCGGAAUAGUAAGCCCAAUAAUUGUAGUCUAUUUAGCAUGGCAACUUCAAAUCUAUAAGGGAUGAGUGUGUCUCACUUAUAGUUUCAGAAUAAUAGACCUGAUAAUUCCAAUGUGUUUAGCAUGACAACUGUAUAAUAGUAGGCCUGAUAAUUUCGGUUUAUUGAGCAUGACAGUUUCAAAUCUAUAAGGGAUGAAUGUCUCACAAGUAGUUUCAUAAUAGCAUACUUGAUAAUUCUAGUCUAUUUAUAAUCGCAUUUUCUGAGUAGUACGCCUUAUAAUUUCAGUUUAUUUUAGCAUGGAAACUUUAGAACAGCAAGCCUGAUAGUUUCGGUCUAUUUAGCAUGUCAACUUCUAAACAGUAUGCCCGAUAAUUCCAGUCUACUUAGCAUGUCAACUUCAAUCUAGAGGGGAUAAAUGUCUCACAAGUAGUUUCAUAAUAGUAGGCCUGAUAAUUUGACUCUAUGUUUUAGCAUGUGUCAACACUUCAACCUACAGGAUGAGUUCCACAUUACGUAGUUCAUGUCAAGAGGAUGGCAAUUUUAGAAAUAGCAUAUCAAGUUUCAUCUAGAAGGAUGAGUUUCAUACUGGGUUGGGCCAGGCUGUUUCUGGUCCGGUGGCCCGAUUCGUCUCGCGCUCGCGCGCGUCCGCGCGCUCCCGCUCGGCCAGGCUGGUUAUGGGCCAAAUUGGCUGGCUUCCGCUCGCGCCAUGCAAAAGAAGCAUACGCGCGCACAGUCGGCCGAUUUCGUGUUCACGCCAGCUUCGGUCGCGCGACGAACGAAAAAGCUAGUACGGCCGCGCGUUAGUCGCGUCCAAUUUCCUUAGUUUCAUAAUAGUAGGCCUGAUAAUUUGACUCUAUGUUUUAGCAUGUGUCAACACUUCAACCUACAAGAUGAGUUCCACGUUACGUGGUUCAUGUCAAGAGGAUGGCAAUUUUAGAAAUUUUAGCAUAUCAAGCUUCAUCUAGAAGGAUGAGUUUCAUACUGGGUUGGGCCAGGCUGUUUCUGGGCCGGUGGCCCGAUUCGUCUCGUGCUCGCGCGAGUCCGCGCGCUCCCGCUCAGCCAGGCUGGUUAUGGGCCAAAUUGGCUGGCUUCCGCUCAUGCCACGCAAAAGAAACAUACGCGCGCACAGUCGGCCGAUUUCGCGUUCGCGCGUACGUUCGCGCCAGAUUCGGUCGCGCGACGAACGAAAAAGGUAGUACGGCCGCCAUUAGUCGCGUCCUAUAAAUUUUACAUUCUAAGCCAGUUUUUUGGAUGUGCGACAACAUUUAUGAUACCAAUCAGUUGUCAAUACACUAUAAAAACACAUUUCAUUGUCAAUACACUAUAAAAACACAUUUCAUGAUGGAUCUAAUGAUAUUGAGGUAUUGUAAGUGUUGAUAUUUUUUCUAUAAAUUUGGUCACUUGAAAAGUUGGACUUGGGACAAAAUUGACAUUCCUAUAUUUUGGAAUGGAAUGAGCAAUGACCCCACUGUGUAGGAUCAACUUUUUUUCUUCUGAGAAAUCAAUUUUAACUUUAGUAGUUCAGCUGCGUGUAUAUCAUGCACACGUCGAGUUAGUACAAACCGCAUGGCUUCAAUCUAUAAUCUAAUUGAUCUAGUCAAAUUUCAAAAGAAACUACACAUGAUGAUCCAUUCAUUGAACUACUGAACUUCUCUUUGUGUGCAUGUGCGAAUGGGACUGUAGGUGGACACCUAUACUACCUUAGGGCUUAGAUAGACAUCGGAUGCGCACAUGUUGGGAUCAUGCAUAGCACAGUUAUUUAAUUGGAUGGGAAAAAAAUAUGCAUAUAUACGCUUCCGUGCACUAAUCAUGUUGUCAAUGCACAAGCGUACGUACUACGUACCGGUGGAAAAUUAAUCUGCGAAACACUGAUCCACCACGUGGAAUCGUGGAGAUUUUUUUUAUUUUUAUUUUUGAGAACGUGGAAUCGUGGAGAUGAGUCCGGAGAGUCCCAUUAGGGCAUUACCCAUACGCACAAAGACAUCUUCGCCAGGCCAGAAAAGUACACGGCAUCCAUCUCAAACUAGGCCGAGGUUUCUGAUGGGCUUGAGAGAUAUGGCCGUAGUUUGCGCAGUUUCCCAGCUAGCUCGUAAGUAAGAAGGGCCGCAUCCUACGAGGAUGCCGAGCCGUAACUAAUAAGAGCCCGCGUCCUACGUGUAUGGGCGGGGCACAAGUAAGGAGCUGGAAUGAUUUGCUGGUUCUUAUUUGUCCUGUUCGAAUGAUUUGUUAGUUUUGUCCCGACAGAUCUAGAGAAUUUUUUCUUCGAAGAGUUUUGUGUAACUUUUAGUUUCUUCAGGAUCUUUUGUUGUCGGUUUUUGUUUUAGUUUCUCCAAUACUUUGUACUCUGUUUACUGAAUCAAUAAAGUUAAAUGUUUCUCAAAAGAAAAAAUAUUUGCUAGUUCAAUAUUUUACUUCAGCAAAUGUAAAUAUUUAAUUAUAUAUGAGAUAAAUGAGAUACCGCUUGUAUCAUGCGUCUAGGUCCAGCUGGUUGAAUCUGCAGCGUUUGUCGCUCUGUCGUGCAUUCGUGCCAAGUCACCAGCUAGUAACGGUGCAUGUUGUCUAACGCACACAGCACACAGCACGCAUGCAAGAUUUAGCUAUCAGCACUAUGGGCCAAAAGCAGCAAACACAGGUGUCCUCCAUGAGUCGAUGACAAUCGAGCCGCAUCCGAACAGUGACCGGUCGAGACGUGUGCUCGGUUUGUGUUGCACUGUUGCUCGUGGUCCACCUCCACGAUUUGCGCCAUCUCAGCCCGCAUUACAGGGUUCCACGUGUCCAAGGACGUGUCCCAGGAGGGAAGCACGCGUACACGCGUAGCACUCUUUUGGCCCUUUUCCUCUGAACAAAUUAAUCAUGAUCCCAGCCUCAAACUGCAAGAAUAAUACGGAGUAACAGUAGAUUGGUCGGGUGAUUGCACGGCGUGAUAGGUCCAAUAGCGCGAGCCCACGCUCCAAACCCAAGUGUAGCAGCAGCGACCGCCACGCGACGUCUCUGAUCAUGGAGGCCGCGACACGUACCUCGACACCCGCACUAGGUCCGUUCCAAUUGGGCCACCUUUUCCACGCGCCCUAUGAGCCCAGCCAGCUCCCAUUUCCCCAAGUUGCUUUCGCGAGCAUGUACAAUGCAAGAUGCCUAGGUGGGUGUUUAAAAAACUUAACCGGUUUUUGUUAAGCACUGAUGCUUAUUUAGACUAAGCAGAUGCCUAACUUGGCACCUCCUCGGUACAAAUAAGCACUGGUGCUUAGAAAAGUGCUUGGUUUAUUUUCGUAAGCACCUGUCUUAUCACCUUGCAUUGUACAUGCUCUUACGACUUCCGCUUAGUUUAAGGCGGUUGGAGUAGUUCACAUUCCAGCUGACAAAUCAGUCGUGAUUUUAGUGACAUAAUCUUUGUUUCAUUUUGGUCUUCCAAGCGUUUAAGCCUUGAAGUGGGUGUUUUCUAGACCAGUGUAUAGUACUACUAAACCAGUGCAAAGUAUGGUAAAGCCGCAGCCGUCCUUGUUUAAGGAAAAGAAGAAGAACCAUCAGGAUGCGGCAACAAAAGUGAAGAAACAAAACACUGGGCAACUGUCGUGCGGCAACGGGUUCAUUUUGACCGGUCCACCUUUGAUUUCUUACCCGAUGUCUAACAGACUGCUCCAGCCGCACCCCCUAAAGGCCUCCUAAACGGGUUUGGGGGGCGCCGGCGCAAAAAUUCAGACCCAGCCGGCCUUCCCAAUUUGUUUUUUCAUCCGGCACGGCCCAAAAAGUUAGCCGACGCCUCCAGGCCGAACCCAGCCCACGGGGGUGGGAGGGGGGGGGAGUGAGGGUGCCGGCACAUCGUGUUAUUGCAACGGGCCCGUCUUGUCAACGACCAAUUAAUUGUUCCACCGGUUUCUCACCGGCCCCUCCUCGGCUUCCGAGUGGCCGGUUGCCACGCGGCCGCGUUAUUGCCGUGUUCACACGCCCGCCGAUUCGCGUUCCGGCGAUAUAAAAAGGGGCAACCACCGGCGGUACUCGGCGCCUCCUCUCCUCCCUCUCGCCCAAACCCUCCCUCUCGCCCUUAAACCCUCCCUCUCGCCAUGGCUUCCGGCGACGAGACAUGGCGCCGGGCGACGCUCACGCUCGAGGAGGCCGAGGCCCUCUACGAGCAUGAGUACCUGGCACCGCCCAACUGCCGGCGCACUAGACCCUCAGCAUCGGCAGCAUCCUGACAGUCGCCGCCGCCGUCAACGCGCACUGGUGGCACGGGCUGACGGCGGAGGAGCGCGAGGACCCCAGGUGGAACCACACCACCAAGGCAAACUAGGCGCCCUUCUUCGCCGAUCGCCAUGCAUCGACAUCGCCCGCUACGAGGGCCAAGGCGAGUGCCCGCCGCCGGGCCGCUUCAACAUCGACGGCCAAUGCCGCUUUUGGCGAGGGCGCUCUGCGGUAGCAGUGCUUGCCCCAUCGCCGUUGGAAAUCACCCUCGGCUAGAGACACCCCCGCCGGCAUCGACGGGCCGGCAUGGGUACGGCAGGCCACCCCACUCCCCCGGCUCCGGCUCUUUCCGCAACACCUCCUUGCUGGUGCUGCGCAUCAAGGAGGAGCAGGGGUCGUCUUCCUGCCGACGGGGGCCGGAGCCGCCUCGCAGCAAUCUCCGCCUUGUUCGGCCCAAGCCGGAGCCGGAGUGGUCGCCGGCGCCAGAUUACGAGCGCUCGGCGCAUGAAUGGCGCCAGGACGGCGACCCCGCGGACUUCCCGGGGCAGCAGGCGGCGGAGCGCGCCGGCCAGCGAACGUCGAGGCCAAGACGUGGAGCACCAAGGAGGCGGCGAGGGAGGCGGCCGAGAAGAAGAGUUAAGGCGGGGAAGAGGCCGGCGCCGGAGGCAAAGGUGGAGCCGAUCGACAUCAACUCCGACGAGGCCUACCUCACCUACUUCAGCGACCUCGACGACUAGACGGUCUUUUUUUAUUUUAGAAUUAUGUAAUGAAAAAACUUUAGCUAAAUUUUGCCGAAAUUCAAUUUUUGGGGGAGUUGGUAUUGGGAGGCGCGGCUGGAUCACGACGGAACCUAAAAAAAAUGCCGCCGGCGCCCCAGCCCCCUCAAAACGGCUUAAAAAACGACAGCGUCGGACGUCAAAUAGAGGGCGCGGCUGGAGGUGCUCAAAUAGAGCGCGCGGGACGUCAAAUAGAGGGCGCGGCUGGAGAUGCUCUAACAAUCGACAUAUGACUGUUCCCGCCGCAGCCGCCUCCUCCGUUGGCGUACGGCACGCUGGAAAGCCAUCCUUCCGGUCCGGUGAUCUCAGCCAUCUGCCGUUCCGUCCGGUGAGAAGGAUAGGUAUCGUAUCAUACUGCAAGCUGAAAAGCAAAAAAAAGACGACCGCUUUUGAGCGGAUAUGCCAUGACUCGGGGAGGCAGCACAACGCUUUACACCUGUGGCCGUGUGGCGCCACACGUGGCCCGUAUGCGACAAGCACCGAAUCCUCGCAAAAUCUCGCGCUAGCAGCCGGAUGGCACGUCACGGGGCAAAUCAGGUCGCUCCAUUUGUUGCCGCCGGCCGAUCGAGGGCGGACGGACGGACGUGAACCCCGACGCAUCACGCAUGGCUCGCGGCCCCUGGCCCAAACUAACCCGUUCCGAUGUCGACAAGGGCGGCACGCACAGAGCGAGGUAAAUACAGUACCGCGCUCCUAUAUAGGCGUCCCGGGACGGAAAUAUCUGCCCAUGUACAUCUAGAUCUAGGAGUGAUUCACUGAUUCCCCAAUCCCCACCGACGAAUAAGCACACGCACCGAGCAAAGGAGCGGCUUUCUUCUUAUCCGGUUCUACGCGCGCGGGCACACGCUCGAUCGGGCCGAUUGAUCCACCCAUCAGUCGAUCGUGAGCUUUCGUUCAUGGGCAGCGAGUGCAAGGGCCACCACCAGGUCCAGGACGACGAAGCCGGCGGCCCGGGCGCCAUCGCGCCGUUCGUGGCCAAGACGUUCCACAUGGUCAGCGACCCGGCCACGGACGGCGUCGUGCGCUGGGGCGGCGCGAGCAACACGUUCCUCGUCCUCGACCCCGCCGCCUUCUCCGACCUCCUCCUCCCCUCUUACUUCAAGCACCGCAACUUCGCCAGCUUCGUCCGGCAGCUCAACACCUACGUACGUAUUGACACAUACUCUACCACCUCUGCUCCACCCUCCACUCAGCAGCUGCGAUUUUCUUUAGUUAACUGACUGUUGCCUUGCCGGCCGAUGCGUUCUCAGGGUUUCCGCAAGGUCGAUCCGGACAGCUGGGAGUUCGCGCACGAGUCGUUCCUGCGGGGGCAGGCGAAGCUGCUGCCGCUGAUCGUGCGCAAGAAGAAGAAGGCCGGGGCCAGGGGGGAGCUGUGCGAGGAGGAAGAAGAGGUGAGGGGCACCAUCCGGGCGGUGCAGAGGCUGCGGGACGAGCGGAAGGGCAUGGAGGAGGAGCUUCAGGCCAUGGACCGCAGGCUCCGCGCGGCCGAGAACCGGCCCGGCCAGAUGAUGGCGUUCCUCGGCAAGCUCGCCGACGACCCGGGCGUCGUGCUGCGGGCCAUGGUCGCCAAGAAGGAGGAGCUGUCCGCCGCGGCCGGCGGCGGCAAAGAUUCCAGCAGCCCCCAGAAGAGGAGGCGGAUCAUCGGGGCCGAGGCCGGGCGCGGCGGCGCCGUGUCAGCGGCUGACGCCGCGGAGAGCAGGGCCGUGCCGUUCCCCUUCUCUGCUCUUGGCCAAGUGUUCUACUAGUGGACCUGCGAGGACUAGAUAGAUAGGUGCAAACGUGUUACGUGUGCUGUUUAUGCGGUCGUAUGACUUUCACUUGGCUUAGUGCCUUUGGUUUAUGUGACUGGUGAACAUAUGGUUAUGCUGCAGGUAGAAGAGUUCGGUAUAUAUGUUUAGUCGUUCCCGGCCUUCAGGAUACGUAGAAAUGUGGAAUGUAUUUGUAUAUUGUCAGAUGCCCGAUGUAUGCUUGUAGUUUGUCCAUCGUACGUAUGACGUACGGCUAGAUUGCUACUCCUGUACUCUAGAGAUCACGGCUGAUUUGGGCAAUUCAGAGUUGACACAGAACCCUCUUCCUGCCAACAUAUAUGCGUGCUGGGCGAUCAAAGCCUGGCCGCGGAAUUCAAAUCGGAACUUGAAGUCGUCAGUCUCUCUUUCGUUCUUCUCCUGGAAGUGACACGAAACCAGACAAACAUUACGAAAGAUUCAAAACUCAAAAGUAAUUCAGAGCAAGGAGCACUCGCCGCAGCUUACGAUCUUUCAUGGGAUUGUGUUUCACAUUUUUCGUUCUUCCAGUUACCACCCACUUCCAAAAUCCCUGCAUGCACACUUUUUUUUCGGCAAAUAUCUUUAGUGGAGCGGAAUAGGAUUCUUUCGACGAACCUGGACCAUCAUCAUCGGUCUAGUGGGCAUCAUCUGAAUUACGAAAUCAAAAGCCACUCCAUUGCAGCGUGCCAAACUGAAAGGCCAUGUAGGUCGAAAAUUGGGAUGCAUGUAACUAACCUAUCAGAAGCCCAUGCAACAGAAGCGAAGACCAACACAAUGUUUUUUUUCUUUCUGAAUUAGCACUUCGUCCCGUGCAACUAUUGCUAGAAAUAGUUUUUAAUUAUCUGAUAAAAUUUUAGAUCAAUGACAUACAUAUUGUUUCGACAUGAUACUCCUUUGACAAGCUCUCCAUUGUGAUACCUUUGAUCAUCAUUUUCUUAAAACAUGUAGUUUUAAACAAAAAUAACUAUACAUUAUGAAAGUCCAUAUAAUUAAUAUUAACAAUGUUGAUGUUUUCAAUGUUGAUAACACUUUCCGAGUUGAUUGUCAAACGUAGAAAAAAACGACCAAUACAAAUUCUAAAAGGGUAGGUAUUUUGAAAUGGAGAGAACAUUACAUAAGUACGCAGAACGAAUGGAGAUUAUUUUCCUGGAAGCAAGAAACUAUUCAACCUACUGGCUCAUUUGAAAUUAACGUAAGGUUAACUUCUGAUGUAAUUAUAUGCAGGCUUGGCAGACUGUCCACUUGGAUCAUUACCUAAAUAUGUAUUGUUUUGGAUCAUUACCUGAUGAUCAACAUUAAUCAGUGGACAAGCUGGACCAGAUCCUGGAACUGGUGGAAAGCAUCCGCUGAAAGAGGCAGGGUAAAAAGUGAUGGCAGAUUGGCAGAUCAUUACAUCUGGAGAUUUCAGCCAUUGUCACCGCUGUGACUAAUGCAUCUUGCUUGCCCUUAUAAAAGUCGCCACGCUUAUCCAAUGAUCACACAUCCAACGCUUGCAUGGUGGUCCGAUGGGUUGAAAUGAGUGAUGCUAUGCGUACGAUACUUUUCCCUUCCGAUUUUUGUACGAUGCGUGAAUGCGUCCAAUCCCUAGUCACGAUGGUUCAUAGUGGAAUGAGGUAGCAACGCUCUGCCUUUUUAGCAGAAGUCAUGGCCUUUGCAGUUCACAGUUUCGCACACACACACGUACGCCAAAAUCAAUCAACGCUCUGUCCUAUUCCGUACCGAUGUGAUAUUCCGAUGGGCUAACCAUACAUCAAUGGCUGGAAAAGGUGCUUUUCGUGGUUAGUUAAGGAUAUAAAACACUUUGUACGUAACGCCUUGCCAGCCAACGGCCAACUGCCCCCAGAAAUUUUACGUGGUUCCCGCUCCCCAACUAACUGCGCGUACCAUGAUACCAUCGUUGUAAGCUCUAGUCAUGUGAUACGUGAGCUAAAAAGAAACCAAAAAAAAAAAUUAGGCUGAGGACGGAAUUGUGCAACGAGAAUCAGGUGGCCACAUGGCAGUACUCCAAGUCUCCAAGCAAGGCCACGAGCCCCAAUGCUACAGUACAAACAGGAAUGGUGCCUUGCUAGUGUGUCUACUUUAAUAUAGUCCGAACAAUGGUAGAUGGAUGAAUGGAUCUGUUAAACUUGACCGCGUUGAUGGUUACCGCUUUACUACCACAAAAUAUAAUCAACCAAGUUAGCGAUAGAUGUACGGUCAGAUUAUUUAUGACCGGCAUUCGGAUAUGUCAUCGGGCUGCAGCUCCAGAGGUCAGAACCGAGUGUUUGAAGAUGUGUCGGUCUUGUUUACUGGAGUACAUCGCUUUUUCACAGGAGUGCUACUGCUACUACUACCAUGCUCCACAGUAGUACAUCCAUGGCGUCACGGCGAUAAACAACAAAUGAUCAUAGGUCAUCACUAUCCGUCGCCAGAACUACUAGAUCAUACCUCGAGUAACCUUCAUCACUCAACUAUUGGUGCAGCGCGUCGCGCACUGCUUUCGCCUUUCGGUGGAGUAUAUAGCGUUAACAUAGAAGACGCCCAUCGUUCUUUCACUUCGGUCUUAUUUCGUGCAUGGUCUGGUUAAUGAAGACCUCGUUGUUUCCUCUUUAAAAAAUUUUAUGCAUUUCACUGGGAUAGUGAAACUGAGUAUCUCGAAGCAAGGUUUUAAUUUCGUUCCGGACAAAAUUUUGAUAACCACCGAAAUGUCUGAAAUUUUAGAAAUUCAUAAACCAUUUUUUGGAUUUUGGUACUUGAAAUUUAUCAGAAAUGUAGAAAACAUAAUUUUGUCUUGCCCAAAUUACACAAUUUAAUUACUCGGUUCACAUUCAAUAAGAAAAUUUGCAUAUUGAAUUUUAUGAUAUAGCAAGUUUACUUAAGCUGUUUUGUGUUGAGCUUAAGUCAUACUGAAUCCAAAAAAAUAAUAUCAAAAAGGCUAUAUUCUCGAUGUCCACCAAAAUUACUGAAAUUUCCAAAAUAUCACCGAAAUUGCCUGAAAGAACAAGAGAGAUCAUCCAUCUCGAUCUCUUUCGGGCCUAGUGGCGGUGUACCAGGUCCAGGAGCAGUGGGAGACAGCGGUGAAGACAGGGAUGGAAAGAUUGACCUUGAUUGAUAACAGUAGUGAUAAGCAUUCUGGUCGCACACUUGUCAAAGUCCUGCACAAUGUUUCUGAUCAAAAUAAAUAAAUCGUGUUCUAACCUUUUAACAUAAGCUUAAUUAGAUCAGGCAGGCAUCGAUGUGUUUCUUCAGAGCAAGGUUUAGCAGUAGCACUAUACCACCAAAUUGCUCCGUAAAAAUAUAUCAGCUAUCUAAGAUUAAAUUGACUGAUUUUUUGUCAGAGAUAAGUUGACCGUUUAGAGGUACCACUUGAAAGAUGGGGGUGAAGAUGAUGACAAGAUCUAAAUCCAACGAUCCUAGCGGGUCUAACGCCUCAACUAAAUUUAAGAUUUUUUCUUAAAAACAAUUUGACAAAAGAUCGUCACACCCGUUUUUCUAUCUUUACUAUUUUUUAAUUUCCAAUCGCGGGUUUCGUCUGACAGGGUGGUAGCUCGUGCGUCCUGCCAGCCCCACCCCGAGCAAUCUCCCGAUCUCUCUCUCCUUUCCAUCCGAAAAGCCAAAAAAAUCUUACCGGCAGUCCCAGCCCGUCAGCCCUGCUCUCCUCGCCGCCCCCGCCCCUGCUCUCCUCCGCCCCCCCUCCCCUCUGCCCUCCGUUAUUCGGCUCUCUCCGCGCGAGGUCGCCACCGGCCGUGGCCCCUGCAGGUUGCUGCCCGAGCUCUCCUCUGCAGCACCGUCGACCUCUUCCCUUCCUCGCCCACCCUCCUCCCCGCCUCAGAUCUCCGGCGGCUGGGUGCGGGCUAGGUGGAAUCCCCGUCGGCGUUCGACCCCGUCCUCGUCUCCGCCGACCGCCAUCCUGCCGGCUGCUGCUCCGUCACCCGCCUCCCACCGGCCGCUGCUCCGCUAACCGCUGAAUCGUCCCGAUGCUCUGUCGGCCUCUUCUUCAACUGGGAUAAAUUGGUAUGUUCGGAAAGGACAUUGACGAAGGUAUUUCGUAUGAGCAGAGAGCAAUGGGAUUGUAUGCAAGCUUUUGUAUAUAUUUUGUGGCUGUAAAAUAGUACUGCACCCUUUCUUCAGUAAUUUUAAAUUAUCUUUCUUAAGCUCGGUUCAGUUUUGAUGGUAGAAUAGAAGGCAUCUGCACAUUCAGGGAGAGGUGAAUAUAACUGAAUUAUCUUUGAAAGCUUUUCUCCCAUCAGAUUGGUGACCGUUACUUCAAAUGAAGGGUGAAGGUCCUAUUAGUCAAUUGUUUAUACAGUAAAGCAUCAGGUAUAUUUUUGUUGGUUCAGAAGUGCUCCCAAUUCUAGAGUUCGUGUUGUUUCAUUUCCGUCGAAAAUCUAAUUAUACGACGUGCAGGCAGUUUUAGGACAUAAGUUGUUAUCUCUUUUGUAAAUAUUAAGGACUGAUUCUAUAUUAACAUAAAACUCAUCUUGAACCUUCCUACUGAUUCUAUGGUAGUUCCAUAGAGAGUUAACUUCAUACAAUACUUUCUAGAUCGUGAAAAGUGCAGGGCUGACAUACUGACCGAACUAUUCUUGCUCUACAUGCCAAAUGAUUCUCUAUUUUUAACAUUGUCAUUACUGUAUCAACAAUCAUAAUAUGUUGUUAGGAUAAUAUGCUGUUAGGACUAUCUCCACUUGCAUUCAACUUGGCAGGAUUUACUUUAAUAUCAACUUUCUGGAAUUUUUGGUUGUUUUAUACUCAUGUGUUUGUAUGCCUCUAUGAUGGAUUUAACUUCAGUCACCUGCUGGAGCAGCUGGACGCCAGGUUUGGGUCUUAGCAUAAGCUUACCUGAUAUUUUCCUAUUGAAAAUGCUUACAAUUUAUGGUUAUUGUUUUCUUGCUAAAAUGCCUUACUACACUUUUGUUUCCCAGAAGGUUGAUGAUAUAGAAAAUGAAGCAAACAAACUUAAGCGAAUCAAGAACUAUCUUCAUGGCAAGUUAUCAGAGCACACAAGUCAUCCCAUUGAGAAGGUACGAAUUGUCCAUUGCAUGCUGAUGUUGAUGACAGCCCUAGCACAGCCUUAGGUGCAAAAUCUCUUGUUUUCCUAUCAAGUUUUAGCAUACUAUGAUGGGGACAACUUCCAAUUUUGUUUUGUUUUGGUAAUUAUAUUAGGGGGGAAAUAAUGCCAGGUCAAAAGGAGGUCAAGCAAGUGAAAAUAUACGGGGCUUUGGUUGUGCGAUCUCUAGAAACUACUCUGACUGCUUGUGGAACAAUUGUAUACUUUGAUUUCCAUCAAGAAAAUUAUGUUUUCAUGAUUUUACAUUUUUUUUCUUCUCUUUCAUUUUCAUUGAACUUUUUGUAUACUUUGAUUUUCUUCACCUUGUUGCCUAAAUUACUAUAUCUUUCUUUCCCAUGGUAGGAGGGGGAUUCCUUGUCGCCGUGCAAAAAACCUUUGCGUAGUUUAAAUAAGAGCGGGAUGCAGAGCGGAUGUGUGGAUGAAUAAAGGAUAGGAGAAAGCAAGAUGGGGAUGUUUGUCACGACAAAAAAUGUGUAUCUGUCAUCAGUGUAUUGAACAAUAUUAAUUAGUAUCUUUAUAUGUUUAUUAUUGUUUGUUACAAUGUUUAAUUGGUAUUUAUAUAUGUUUAUUAUUUUUUGUAGCGACGCAUGGGCAUUCUGCGAGUAAGUUUUAUUUGAGAGUAAUGCCAUUGUGAAUAUCUUUUGCGGUAACUUGCACGUCGAAUAUAACCGCGGCGAGGACCUCGCCACGAACAUGCAAUUUAAACCGGUUUAAACCUGUCCUAGAGCAUUGCUGGGUCUCCCCCAAUACCAUCCUACAAAUCACCAAGUUAACAAAUACGAACACUCGGCCCGACCGAUCGAUGUGUCUGGAACGCCGGAUGCACGUAAAAGGUAGCCGUCCAAGUUCGGGCUUGCUCCCAAUCAACCCCCAACCAUAUAUCAGCGCGACGAGCUGCCUGCAAGUUUCCACGCCCCAUUAGUGCUCGCUGGCCCCUUCAGAAAUUGUCUUGUCAUUCUCGAUAAAAGUCGCGAUGCCCCGUCACCAACACGCUCGCGUCGCCCGCAGCCCCCCUCUGGUCUGUCCCACUUGAUCUUGACGAGCACCUAGCACAAUAACUAGCCCCCCGUACGUACGUGCUGCAACGGAGGACGCCAGCAUGGUUACAAGUUACAACCUCUCAAUAAGUGCGUUGGGCAGUACCCUAACAUCCAGCAACUACCGGAGAUGGACGACAGUUAUGGUAGUCGGUGCGGUCCAUGGAACCCGCUCUUCGUCGAUCGUAUUACACAACUCGAGAAUCUAGCAAAGGGAAACAUGAUACCCGAUCCCGCAUUACUCGUUAUACACGUUACUACUAGGACUUGCUAGGAUCAGCGAUUUGGCAGCACUUGUGUCUGUGUGUGAGAGCUGUGAAGUGCAUGAUCAGCUGGCGGCCGGCGAACGGUCUCAUACUCUCACCGCGCAACCGUCGGCCGGAGAAGCGACGUAUACGUGGAUCGAGACGGCGCCCGCCACGCUAACAAUAACCAUCCGGGGCCGGUGGCAUUAUCGCAUCGGCAUGGGGGCGGGGCGACGGAGACUGGCAUUCAUUACCGCGCGCGCGAGGCAGAGGGGACGGUUGAGUGAGUCACAGUGCGUGGCUUCACCGGAGGUCCGGACCGGGCGUUGUUCGAUCUUGGUGCGCGUCCUACUCCUCGUUGGUGUCGGUGCAACACUAGCUAUGCACGCACGUACGCUAUUAGAGUGUCACCUGCGCAGGCGCACAGCUAGCCGUACCCGUACUCGGCGAGAGGCUAGCUACUGCCAGGACCCAGGAGUACGUACGGCAUUGCUUGCACAUACACCGCAGUUAAUAGAUCUGUGCAAAUUAAUUAAUUCCCCCAACUCCCUAUCUACUUUCUGACUUGGUUCUAUAAAUACGUGUGUGCUAGGUGCAGAGACAUCUCAUCUGCAUCGUCCCAACAGCAGCUCAUCUUGGCCUCUCCUGUGAUGAGCUCAGUUUGCUCGUUGGUGCCCGCAAUGGAUAGGCUCCUCGCCGGCUUCCUUGGCUUUCUACUGGUCAGUCUCUCAUUACCAUGCGCCACGUUUUUCAGUAUACUGUCUCUUUGUCAUUCCUAGUACUCCCAUGCUAAAUCUCGCAACAACAAAAAACUAUACUAAUAAUACCAUGCCAAGCUCUCGAUCUAUUGUGGGAGGAAUAUGCAUGUUCUCUGUUGCUCUUUCUAUCGUUAUUUGAUAGGAAAAACCAUAGAGCGAUCUAUCUGUUGUGCGUCAGUUUGCAAAGUAUUUGAGAGGAGGUUCAGCUGACAGCAAAAAAAUAAAAUGUUUUUUUUAGUGAAGUAACUCGUUCAACCCUCCCAAUUUAAUUUCAUAACAUUGAAACUGAUGAAGCUAGCACAAGCUGCCAGGUUUAGAGAGUGCUUUUCCCGAUCAGCAGGGAUCAGAAAACCCCCCAGGUUCCAUUUAAAAUGAAACCUGGGUGAGGUAUGCAGACAACGAACAGAAAGUUUGGAGAGUAGAACGAAACAUAAAUUUUGUUUAGAGGAAUUCAUAUUUGCAAAGUUGGUAAGUUUCAAGUCCUGUGUAGGGAGUGUCGGAGGCCGGAGGGUACAGUUUCAUUGGAUAGAUCAUGGCAGCAGCGAUUCUUUCAUCAAAUUAUUAUGGCUACUGAUCUCAAAUACGUAUAAACCGUGUACCCUGCAUGCAGAUUGCGUCGGUAGGAAGCCAUGCAGCUCGGGCUCCGGAGCAAUACUGGAAGUCUGCUCUUCCCAACACUCCCAUGCCAAGCUCCCUCUCGCAGCUCCUGAACACUCCAGGUAUAUCAUAUCAUCCUUGCAGUAUCUCUUAGGCAAACAGCUUCGGUACAGGUCAAAACAUUGACCCUUCUUCCUGCCCGUGCGCAGCGGGAGGCACGUCAGUGAACGUCGGCUGGGGAGGUGUCCAUGUCGACGCUGGUCAUGGGAAGCCCGGGGGCACGACGGUUGAUGUUGGCAAGGGUGGCGUCGGCGUCAACACCAAGCCCGGCGGGACUACGGUCGGCGUCGGCAAGGGCGGCGUGGGCGUCAACGUCAAGCCCGGGGGCACCACGGUCGGCGUUGGCAAGGGCGGCGUCGGUGUCAACGUUAACCCAGGCCACGGCAAGCCCGGUGGAACCACCGUUGGUGUUGGGAAGGGCGGCGUGGGCGUCAACGUCAACCCCAGCAGCGGCAAGCCCGGAGGCACCACAGUCGACGUUGGCAAAGGUGGUGUAGGCGUUAACGUGAAACCCGCAUAUGGUAAGCCUGGUGGCAGUGGCACCACGGUUGGAGUUGGGAAAGGCGGCGUCGACGUGAACGUCAAGCCCGGCAGCGGCAAGCCCGGCGGCACCACGGUCGGCGUCGGGAAAGGCGGCGUGGGCGUUAACGUGAAACCCGCAUACGGUAAGCCUGGUGGCAGCGGCACCACGGUUGGAGUCGGGAAGGGCGGCGUCGGCGUGAACGUCAAGCCUGGCUACGGCAAGCCAGGCGGCACCACGGUGGGC